AUUACAAAUAGUUGCUUGCGAAGGAGUUAACAAUUGAAAAAUUAUCAUUUCAACAAAAGUAGAUAAGAAAAAAUUCAAAGCAUAAAUCAUGAAUAUAAAGGCAAAUAGUUUCUGCAUUUUUUGCAUUNUAUAAAUUAAAUAAUUUUUAAUAAUAUUAUAUAUAAUUUAAUAAUAUUAAUUAUAAAAAUAAAAAAUAUCAAUUAAGUUAAUUUGUAUUUUGAACUUUUUUGUAAAUAUAUUAUUUUUUAGGAAUAUUUUUUAAAAUAUAAAUAAUUUUCGGGACAGAUUCGGGGCGGAUCAUGGUGGGGCGGAUUCGGGGCGGAUUUGGGACGGGUCAAAAUUUCUCCCAUUUCCUGCCCCGAAUCCGUCUCGGAUCGUAAAAUUUACCCCAUUUCUCGCCCCGAAUCCGUUUAUUUUCUCCCAUUUACUGGCCCCGUCGGAACGGAUCGAGGCGGGAGCUCCACCAACCCGAAUCCGUUUGCAUCCCUAGAUUGUAUAUGUUAAUGAAGUAAACUGAACCGGUUUGUAGAAAAACUGGAUUUGCGGUUCGAUUUUCCUACGUUUCGGAUCAACACCUAGAAAUAAACAACAAAAUGCUAAAAUGUGGGGCUAGUUAUUGUGCUACAAUGGAAUUGCAAUUUGGUUCGUGCUUCGCAUUUCUCAAUAUUUUAAAAUUGUAAUCCGGAUCAUAAAAUAAUUCGGUUCUACCCGUUGAACAGAAUAAGUCAAACUUUUGCUUUAAGCCAUUCAAACCUCCUGUUUAACCGCCUGUUUAAUUGACUUUAGUUCAUUCAAAGUGCCAAUUUGUCUUAGUUUUGUUUAAAUUGGCACCAAAUCGGGGUUUAAAAAUCUUUAAAAAAUAUUUUUGUAUCUUUUCACACUUUUAUGCUCGAAUUUUGGGGCCUUACAAUUCUCUUCUCUAGAGAAAAAGUACAUUCAAUUAUGAAUUCUCAAUUGAGCUUUUCAACAAAAAUAACACAUAUUUAAUACUAGAUUCUAUUUAGAUUUUAGAUUUUAAAAUUGGACAACACUAUUUUUAAAUUAUGCAAUAGACACUAAAAACAUAUUCUCUAAAGUGCAACAUUCUAUGAAAAGUACAAUAAUUGAUCUUUUUUAAUAAAAAAUUCAAACUGGCGUUGUACACCCUCCUACACAUCAAAGGCUUCGAUAAGUGCACCCUAUCUUUACAUACAUGCACAUUCUGGGUAUUAAAUACUUAUAUGGGAAAGGCAAUGAUGAAGUGCAAAAAAAUUAAUAGUAAUUACAUGAUUUAUCAGUAGAUAAGAUUAAGAUAUAGAAAAAUUUAUCUAACUUCAAAUUCAUUAAAUACCACAGUAAUAAUAUUUGAGUAGCACCAUUUCAUAUCUCUUCUGUCUCAUAAAAUAGACCAUAAUUAAAAGGUAUGUACCAACUUUGCCUUGGAAACAUCACAAAAUCAUAUCAAAUAUAUUUUAAGUACAAUCAAUCAUAGUAUAAAAUAAUAUAUAUUCUAUCAUUAAUACUAUUUUAAGUCUUUAACUACAAAGAUCUAAAUAUAAAUAGAAAGAAGUUAUGCAAUAACAGUAAAUAGUGUAUCCCCAAAAGUGAAUGGGAUGCUUUUCUUGUUUUAGAAAGAAGAAAGCAGUAAAGAAGGAAGCAAAAAUAUCUUGGCAAUGUAAUAUGGCUAUGCUCCCAUAGAAGAUCCGCAAGUUCAUGAUCAAACUUCAUUAGAGUCAAAAAAAUAAAAAAUUUAAGCCCAAAAAAUUAAUCAAUGCAAAUAUAGAAUCACAACAAACACAAAAAUAGGAUAGAAUGUUGACAACAUAUAUAUAGGGUUUAGCCAAACCUAUAUAGAAAAAGGAUCAUAUAAAUGAUUUGCCAUCCUGAAUUGUGUAGUUCAAAGUUUCGAUUGUGUGAUCUUGAGGAGAAAUUCAGAGAUGUGCAUAGUGAGUCUACUCCCAAUUCAUAAACCCUAUGAUGCAACACCAAGAUUACAAUCUAAAUGAGUUUAACAAUCAAAUACCUACCAGAAUACCUUAGGAUCAGAAUUUAAUGGCAUGAUUCAUAUCAAUCAUUUUACUCUAAAAUUCUAAAUAAUCUAGCACUUAAACCUACUGAAAUUGAACAUACAACUCUUAAAAUAUCAUUUUUCCCCAAAAGGCCAAAACCCACCACAAAAUCACGCUAAAAAAAUAGAAAAAAGAAGUAACUAAGAAAUGAACCACCAAAGAUUCUAAACUAUCGAUUAGCACUUAAAAAACUACUUAGAUAUUAUUGUUAAAGGAAAACUCAUUUGUCUCUUAUCUAAAAUCAAGUAGCCAAUGCUCUUUUGAUUACUUGCAUUUAAAUGUUUAGUUAAUAUCCCACAUAGAAAGAAAUAUAUUAGAAUAAUAUAUUCAACAACAAUAUAUUUGAGUCUGGAAUUACGAAACAAACCUGUAAAAGAAUUAUAGAAUGGUUUCAAAGGAUUCAAACAAUUUUCUCUCCAGUGAAAUUCCUCUUAGAUAUAUUUUGCACAUCAUUUUUCACUUAGUUGUAGCUUUUUUAAUUUGUUACUUUUCACAUAAUGAAAAGAGAAUGUGUUAUUUGGGCUUGAUUUUUUUUUUCUAUUCACUUUUUUAAUUGAUCAGGUUGAGUUUAAACUAAAGCAAAACGAAAGUGUUCUAGAUACUUCGAUUCUUUGGUUGAUCAUAUUGCAUCACAUAGCACAAUCUUCAAUCAUGCACAAAGGGGGAAAAAAAAGGUUUUAGAAUGUUUGAUUUUACCAUUUAAUCUGUUAUUCCUUUUGAUUUCUAUAAACUUCACAAAAGUCUUUGUAUUAGAUUGAUUAGAGAAUUUUUUUAUAAAUUAACAUGAUUCCUAAUAAGAAUACACUUGAAUUAAACAUAUAAAUAAGAAAUCAAACUAUAUAAAUAAAAAAAAAUCUAUUAAGGAAAGCUUACAGUUUCAAAUUCGUAAGGUCGCAAAAUGUAAGAAAAGCAUGUUAACUGCACAACAAAAAAUAAAAAAAAAAUUGUUAGCAAAAAAAAUGCAUAAAAUUGAAAAGUAAAUGCAGAAAUAUGGAAUCUAUAGGAAAAUAGAAAUAAAAGGAAAAACCAUUGGAAUCGAGAAAACCAAAUGAUUCAGAUCCACCAGUGUAAUUGUUAGAUUAAGAGCCGCUAAAUUUUCGCUUACAGGAGAAAAUAAUUUCAGCAGCAUAGAAAGAAACCAUCCACGCCUUAUUAUAUAGAUUCCGACAGUUAAUGCAAACGGCAUGAAAGAAACCGUUCUUAAGUAAUAUGGUCACAAAAUCGAGGCGGCAACAGAAGCAAUCCAGAUCGGCAACAGAAGGGAUCGAAGGGACGGGGCCGAGAUCGAAGGGAUGGGGAUGGGAUCGAAGAGGCAUGAGAGGCAAUAGAUGGGAUUGUAGAUGGAAUCGAAGAGACGGGAGCAGGAUCGAAGCGAUGGGGUGUAGAUGGGAUCGAAGAAGUAGAGGAGGUAUCGAAGCGGCGCGAUAGGGAGGGGGAGCAAGAGGCGGCAUCUGAAGCAGCAAAGGGGUUAAAAAAAAAAAAAAAAAACAAAAAAAAAAAAAAAAAACCGGUAAAAACUGUGCGUGCGAGAGAGAGGAAACGCUCGAGAAAGCAGAACCCACAGGCUAAAGUUGAGGAAAACUUGCCACGUGGAUUAAGAUUACGGGUUUAAUUAGAGUAUAUAUAGAAGAUAGAGAUAUAGAUAUUAAUUUUUCUCCAUCCUAGUAUCUGUUAAAUAUUUUUUAAUAUUAAAAUUCAAUAAAAAAAUAAUUUUUUAAAUAAAAAACAAAAUUAGUAUAUAAUAGCAAAUCGGUUGCUUCUUAAACACGAGUCGUUAGAGACUACUCAAGGAUUUAUUUAUUUAUUUAUUUAUUUUUCGCUAACAGCUUUUGGAGGCGCCGGACAAUUUCAUUGGAGAAUCUUCUUACAAUGCGAUCCGGUCUAACGUGUCUGGGUCCGGUUCGAGCAUCUGUAAUAGCCGACGCACCACACUCAUGUAUAAAACGCAUGCGAUUACGAAAGGGCGAAAAUCCCCCCCGGAAGAAAAAGAAUUAUGCGAGAACCGAACGCGACCACCACCGUCCGAUCGACACAUCCGAGCGACCGACACCCGUUCGGGAGAGGCGACUGGGUGUGCAAAACGAGGCGAGAGCAUCGAAUAUGCGCUCGCAUAUUCCCAAAACGAUCGCAAUUUGAAUUCCCGUAUUGUCAGAAAUGCCACUGUGGUCUCCUAAUUUUGCUUAAUUACACACUACACGUUACUUAUAUAUAUAUAUAUAUAUAUAUAUAUAGAGAGAGAGAGAGAGAGAGAGAGAGAGAGAUUCUGACUAUUAUAUUUUAAUGAGUAUAAACUAUUUUAUAUUCAUAAAUUUUCGGUUAUAAGAUUUAUUUUUUUGCUAGAAAUAUGAAUCAACUAGGAUUCGAACUUGGGCCUCGGGUACCAACCACCAAGCCUAUUCAAUUCUAGCGUGCUAUCUAUUUCUCUCUCAAAAAAAAAGAUUUAUUUGUUUUGAUCAGUUUCACCUGUCAGAUUAUACUAUUCAACCAACCACCUAUUCAAUUCUAGAUGAUAGUGAAUUCAAUUCUAGAUGAUCACUAUCAUACUAACCGAGUACUACUAUCAUACUAACUACACAUAUUUUUAUCAAAUGACCGAGUACUUAUGAGUACAGAAAAGUUUAUACUUAUAAAACUAUAAUAACCGUAGCAUAUAUAUAUAAAAAAUUAGAUUACUAUAUUAUUAAUAGUACUAAAGGUUUAGUGGUAUUAAAUUUUCAGUCCUUAAAUGAAGAGACAUUAAGUUAGAUUAAUAGUAGUCUUUUUAGGAUUAAGUGGGUGAUUGGUUGAAUAGUAUGAUCUAACGGAUAAAAAUAAUCAAAAAUAUAGAUCUAAUGACGAAAAAUUUGAUAAUACCAAACGUUUGUUGAUACUAUCAAUAGUAGUAUAAUAGCUGAACUAUAUAUAUAUAUUUGAAAGACACUACCGAUUACUAUUUUUUUGUCAAUUAUAAAUGUACUAUCUUAUACAUUAGUUAGUGGCUCAAUUAAAAAUUAUUGAUUGAAAAUAGGGAAAAACGUAUAUUUAAUAUAUUUUAAUAAAAAAUAAUAUUUAUAGACAGAAAAUAAAAAAAAUAAUUAACCACUUCCUCCAAAAUAUUUAUAGACAGAAAAUAAUUAACCACUGCCUUUUUAUAUUCUUUUUUAUCAAAAUGGUCUUUAGAAAUAAACAAAUAGUCCACUAUAGUUAAAAAAAGGGGUUAAAUUUAAGUGUAAAUUAAGCCUUAAUUUUUAUUAAAUUAAAUUAGCAUUUAUUGUUUUAUAUUAAUAUAAUUAUUAUAUAUUCUAUAAAUAGUAAUGAGAUGCCCUAAACAGCUGGAGCUCUUCUUGACCUUUUUCUCCGCAGCUCCGUUUGGCCAACGCGAGCGAGGAGAGAGAGAGACAAAGAGAGCGAGUUCAUUUGGUCCUCUUCACCCCCACCCCUUCCCCCUCACAAUUCCAUUUCCAUCGCAACCUCAACCCUAACCCUAAACCGAUCUCGUCUCCCUCCAAUGGAUCUCUACGACAAAUCUCGCGCAUCGCUCCUCCCGAGCUUCCUCUACUCGUCCUCCUCCGCGACGAGGUCCGUGGGGCUCGAGCGGAUCCUGUUGAGCCGUAGCUCGAGCUCUCCGGCGGCAGAGGCGGCGGCGGCAGCGCCAUCUCCGGCGAGCGGUGGCGCUCCGAGCGGAUCGUUCAUGAUCCAGGCCCCGAAGGAGAAGAUCGAGAUGUACUCGCCGGCGUUCUACGCCGCCUGCACUGCCGGAGGCAUCGCCAGCUGCGGCCUCACCCACAUGGCCGUCACGCCUCUCGAUCUCGUCAAGUGUAACAUGCAGGUGAGCGAGAUCUAUCUCCUUGUGUAAGAGGAUUUGAUAUAUUUGGGGCCGGAGAUAUUUCGUUCGGAUGUGUUUCAGAUCAAUAGGUUAUGAUUCCAUUUAGGUUUACUCUUGAGGGAUUUCCAUGUUUUCGUGGUUCCCUAUUUGUGUUUUCAUCAUUUUAAGGCCUAUAUAUGAAUAUACGUUGACUAGAGAUAUCUUUUUGAUAGAUCAUGUUAAAAUUCUAAUAAAUUUAUAUUUAUAUUUAGAGCAAUAAGAUCCGCUGUAGGAAUGAUAAUUUUUGCUCUUUAUGCUGAUUGCUUCUUUUUGUCUGCUCUACGCUUUGUUAAUUUUUAGCAUGAGCUUGAAACUUUUCGAUCCUUUACAUUUUUGCAUAAUUGUUGUAGCGGAUUGGGAGUUUGUGCGCUUGAUCCUUAUAUUAGUCAACUUGCACGAUAUAUUUGUGCAGAUUGAUGGAUUUUCCCUUGAUUUAGUAUUUCUGGCUAGAUUCGUGAUUCUCUUGAAGUUGAUGCGAGGCUGUAAAUGAAAUACUGCUGAUUCCAAUAAUUUUUUAGCGCAUCAGUGUAUCUUACUGGCUUACUGCUUCUGUUGGGAAUUUGUAGAUUGAUCCGGCCAAGUAUAAGAGCAUUACGUCAGGAUUUGGUGUUCUUUACAAAGAGCAAGGUGUUAGAGGUUUCUUCAGAGGUUGGGUUCCUACCCUGCUCGGUUACAGUGCGCAAGGUGCUUGCAAGUUUGGGUUCUAUGAGUUCUUCAAGAAGUAUUAUUCUGACCUUGCGGGGCCUGAGUAUGCUGCCAAGUAUAAGACCUUGAUUUAUCUUGCGGGAUCUGCUUCUGCUGAAGUCAUUGCUGAUGUUGCUCUCUGCCCCAUGGAGGCGGUGAAGGUUCGUGUGCAGACGCAACCUGGCUUCGCCAGAGGCUUAAGUGAUGGCUUCCCCAAGUUUGUGAGAUCUGAAGGCUACCUGGGGUAUAUUCUUCUGGCUUUGUUUAACAACUUGCCUGAUGUUUUUAUAUAUUUGUUUUUGAUUCUUAGUAGCUUAAAUCCUACGAUUUGAAUGCAGAUUGUACAAAGGAUUGGUUCCACUUUGGGGCCGUCAAAUCCCUUGUAAGUAUAUCUCUUCUGUUUUUAUUUUCUAUGCUGACUGGUUCUAACAUUUCUGAACUUUUUUUCUUACUGGUGAUUUUACUGAGAUAUGUCAUUGGGUAUUUCCUUGAACUUCAGAUGAUUGAUAUCCUAUAAAGUUUGAUUGGGAAUUAUGAUAUUCCUAUACAUUCGAAGGUUCUCUCUUCAUUGAACAUAGAUUUUGUUCAUUUCUGCAUCUGUUAUUUAGGCUUUUUGCGAGUCAUCAUGUAGCUUUUGAGGAAUUAAUCUUCUCUUUUUAACCUUGUAAUGAAAAACAGCAUUUGCUUAACUAUUUUGUGUCUUUUUAUUGAUGCACAUAGUUCUUCUUGAAAUCCGACUAUGGUUCUCAAGAUUUUAUGUGUGCAUAAAGAAAUGCUCCUCUCUGCUUGAGUCUUCUCCUCUUUGUUCUAUAUGGAGUUGCACUCCAAUGAAGUAGUCUACAAUUCAAUUAACAUAGAAAUUCCCUGGCAAUAGAACUGUUCUAAUAAACAGAUUGUUCUUAUCUAUUGUCUUUAUUAAUAUCUGUCAAUCUAUAGGUUAACAGUUUUUCUUUUGAAUUUCUUUUUCUUUUAUUUUUUUUUUUCCCUGGCAAAGCAUUUUAUCAUUGCUUUGUGAUUUUCGUAAUUUAGAUGUUAAGUGGCACAAAAAAUUGAGUUGCUUCCGACCAAUAUUUCUUGAGGCCGUUCGCAAUUAUAGAUUCUCUUGCCUUGAUCGGUUUAAACUAUGCGUAAAUGUCGUUAGUUGUGAGUUAACAAUAUAGUAGCCUUCAUACAUUUACCCUCUUCUUUGGAUGUUUGGUUUUCUUUUGUUUGGAUGGAACAAAUCUUAUUCUGAUUUGUCAUUCUGAUUGCCAACUUUUUCGCUCAAUAGAUCUGAUGAAGUACAAAUUAUAUUUCGAUAAGAUCUCAUUGCAAGUACUUCUGAUUGGUUAUUUCAAUGCUUUGAGAAGACCGUAUGUGUACUUCAUUUUGGCUCCCACAAUUGCACUCUCUUGUUGAAAAGUUUGUUAUAUUUUUAAGUGACUCAUUUUUACAUAACAAAGGAAAGGUUAAUUGCUCCGUUCAGGAACUAGCUUUCCUGUUUACCACUUGCAGGCCUAGUUUUGGAAUUCUUUUGCUAAAUCAAGUGUGUUAAUUCUUAAUGCUUAGUAGCUUCGAAAGAUUUCCACCGCUAUAUCUGUAUACCAUAGCAUCGGAACAGUGGAACUCAAAAGAUGUGUUUAGAUUCUUUUUUGUUGAUCUAAAGUAACAAAGUGAUUGUUUUAGGGGGAGCAUUCCCAAACAUUGGCCUUAGUAAUAUGUGAGAAUUAAGAAGCUGCUUUUGAUUAAAAAUAUUGCCAAUUAAUGGUUUUCUUCUUUUCACACCAUUAUUGUCAAUAUGGGCUUCUUCAGCUAAAGUCAAUUUGGUAGUAUAAUUUGCUAGAUUUGUUAAAACUAUUAUUUUCCUGAAAAUGUGCAUCUGCACCCUUUUAAAGCAUAGUGAUCAGUAGUACUGUUCAUGAAGGUCAUGAAAUGGUGUUGAUUAGUAGAUAAUAUGUCUCUGAUUCAUGGGUUUUUUGUUUUUAAAGAAAAGUGUUGGCAUUCUGUUGCUUUCUCUGUCUUAUGUUAAUAUAGUCUAAUUUUAGGAUCAUUAGCAGAUUUUCUGUCGCGUCUGUUCAUUGAAUCAUCUGUUGUCUGUCAUUGCAGAUACAAUGAUGAAGUUUGCAUCCUUUGAGACCAUUGUGGAGCUGCUCUACAAACACGCGAUCCCCACACCAAAGGAGCAGUGCAGCAAGUCUUUCCAGCUUGGCGUGAGCUUUGCCGGUGGAUACAUUGCUGGAGUCUUCUGCGCCAUUGUUUCUCAUCCAGCUGACAACCUUGUCUCUUUCCUCAACAACGCCAAGGGUGCUACUGUUGGUGAUGUGAGUUUUUCUUUCUUCUAUUGUAUCGACAUCAUUUUCCAUACGUUGCCUAUUCUUUCUUUUGUGUCGUCAUUGGUUUCCUGAUCUCCUGUGGUUUGUUGUAUUCUGCAUUUUUUAGGCUGUCAAGAAGCUUGGCUUGUGGGGUCUCUUCACCCGCGGGCUUCCUCUUCGUAUUGUCAUGAUCGGCACUCUUACUGGGGCUCAGUGGGGCAUUUAUGAUGCUUUCAAAGUCAUGGUUGGCCUGUAAGUAUCUCUCACGCCUACUUGUGUUUAUAAAUUGUGAUCCGUGAAGUUCCUUAUUCUUUUUUUUUUUAGAGGGGGGGGCGGGGGGGAAUUUUAUGCAUGCAAGCGCGUUAUAAUCUUUUGGAGAUCUACUUCUAAUAAGUUUGAUAUUUUCCAGGCCAACGACUGGUGGAAUUGCUCCUGCUGCAGCUCCAGCUCCAGAGCUUGCACAGCUGAAAGCUAGCUCGUGAUUUCCAGCAGCAGAGAUUGUAACAGCAAAUUCCUGACUUCUGCCAUCUGUCAAACCCGUCCUGGAUGGGUUUGUAAUUUUUUUUGCAAGAGAAUCCCUUGCUUUUGAUUAUUUUUCUAAUGGUAUUUUGUGGAUGUUAUACCCUUAAGAGGAGUGAGAGGAACUCAUUAAACAGGUGAAGAUAGAUUUCGGCAUCAAAAUAUUAAAAAAUAAGCUGUAGCGCACACUGAGGUUUUGUAGUUUUACCUUGUAAUCCCCUGAGUUUCUCAGGACGUGUUUGUUGGUAAUUGUUUUUACGUAAUUUGCAUUUUCCUUUGCUUUAUGGUCACAUUAUUAUCUAGGUUAAAGAUAAUAAUCGCUUGCUGGUGAUGGUGAUCUUGUCAAAGUACUACCUUCGCCUCGAUAUUUUUGAAUAUGCUCUGUUUUAUGCGAGUAGGUGAAUUAAUGACCCUGGUUGUUUAAGAUACUUCGUAGGGCCCUGCGAAAAUUUAAAGAGCCCCGAACUUCUUUAGCCUGUGUGACCGUGGAGCUCUAUCCCUCGCAGAGUUACAGCUCUCUACGAGUGUCAUUCUUAUUUAUCUUAGACACAAUAAAGUUUGUUUACCGAAGCUAGGGUGCAUUUAUGGUUGCAAGGACAAGACUGGAAAUAUGAUAUCAGGUAAAAACUAAAGAUAGGUGUGCCAUGUGUUUGUUGUACAUAAAAUGCAUCUCGCAAGUUAAUUUUUUUCAAACACUAAUUCUAGAGUUUAUAUGACAAGAAAGUCAAAAUGCACCCAGAAAAUUUCUUUUUUAAUCUUUAUAUUGAGACGUAUCUUACAACAUUUUACAAAUUUUUUUGUUCGCAGAGUUCAUCCGGGGGGAAUACAAGGGCUGUAGUAUUCAUGGGCCAAGACAAGAUGAACCGUUUCUGUAUAUUGCGAGUUUUUAGGGAGUUGUCUUUUUUCAAGAAAACAACAGCAUGCUACCUACUUUAUUUUGUUUUUUUAAUGAACUCAGGUAAAAAUUUGAAACAAUUAAGUUUUAAACUUAAAAAUUCGGCUACCAAUCAUCAAGUCUUCGACUACUUACGUUAGGGACGGUCAGUUUUAAGGGAGUUUUGUUACUGCAAGCUUCCUAGCUUUCACCUUCGAAAGUAGAUCAGUCUCAAUAAUGGAAGUCUCAGAUUUAAUUUUUACAAUCCCACUAAAAGAUAAAAAAAGUAUAUCCGUAUAUGCUUCUGCCCUAAUUCUUUUUGACUCAAUUGUCUUACAAGAGCCAUUUAUCCCAAACAAGUUCCUAUGAUUAACCUGUUGUUGCCUGUUCGUAAAUUCGGGAUAGGAGCAUCCGUUGUGAUUCUCUUCAAAACUUUUGUUUAAAUUUGGCUUACGGCCAAUUUGGGAGAAAAAAAAAAGAAAAAAAAAAAAGAAAAUUCCUCGGGAGUUUGAAUCGACAAUUCCACAUAGAAUUUACAGAUAUGCCUGCUUAUUUUUACAGAAAAUUAAUCUACAAAAUGUUUUAUGUUCAAAAGAGUGUUUUUUGGUUGUUUGCUUCAGCAGAAUCUAUAUCUCCUAAAUAUUGUUGGUAUAUAGCCUUAUUUUGGGCUCAAAANAUUUUGAGCCCAAAAUAAGGCUAUAUACCAACAAUAUUUAGGAGAUAUGCCUGCUUAUUUUUACAGAAAAUUAAUCUACAAAAUGUUUUAUGUUCAAAAGAGUGUUUUUUGGUUGUUUGCUUCAGCAGAAUCUAUCUCUCCUAAAUAUUGUUGGUAUAUAGCCUUAUUUUGGGCUCAAAAUGAAAAUAAUAAACAAUUAUUUUCGCUAUAUUUAUUCAUCAUUUUUAAUUUCUAGUUUAUGUAAAACGAAGAAGGGAGAGAAACAAAAUGUUAAGUUUGUCAGCCGCUAAUGAACAGAAUUUAAAAGAGUGUUUGGACAUUUUAAUAUCUUAAUUGAUAUAUCUCUUCAUUUAAUUAAUUUAUGGUACAUGUAUAGUAAUUGGCGGGUGGGGAUCUUGAGAAAAAAUGUCAACAAAUGCAUAAUUUAUACAUCCUUAGAUAAAAUAUAUUAUUCACAAAGACUCGGUUUUGAAUGCAUAAAUAUUUUAUUUUGUAUAUCCUUAAUUUAUUUAAAAAAAUUGUGUAUUUGAUAAGAAAUGUGAUUAAAUAUUUCAAAUGGAAUACUGUAUUCAUCGUUUUUUUUUUCAGAAAAAAUAAAUCAUCUCAUAAGUAAAAUAUGCUACCAUUCCAAAUCAUAGAUAGCAACACUUUUGAAGAAGAAAAAAUCAAAUUCAUUAGGAACAAUUAAAUUAGAAAAUCUUUAUAUGGAGAAUAACUUAAUUCCAUAUUUAAAUAGGAUAAAAAAUUAUUAGUUUUGUUUUUAGAGAAAAAUAAUACGCUACUCGUUUCGUUCAUAUAAAAGCAUAAACUAAUUACUAGCAUCUCUCUCAUGAUAAACUAAAUCAGUAUAUAUAUAUAUAUAUAUAUGAGUCCGGCUACUACACUAUCGAUAGCACCAAGUCCUUGGUACUAUUAAGUUUUCUACCAUUAGAUCUACCUUUUGAUCAUUUCCACCCGUUAGAUUAUACUAUUAAACCAACCACCCACUCAAUCCGAGGGGACCACUAUCAUCCUAACCACACAUCCUUUCAUCCAACGGUCGAAAACUCAAUAGUACCAAAGGCUUGGUACUAUAAAUAGUAUAGUAGCAUAAUUCUAUAUAUAUAUAUAUAUAUAUAUAUAUAUAUAUAUAUAUAUACGGAAAUAAAUAUGGUAUUUUUUUCAACGUACUUUCUCACCGCACAUAACGCAAUUUUCCUGCAAUCCCAAACGAAGCCUAUAUUAUUUAACCAAUCACCCACCCAAUCCUAAGACUAUAUUAUCAUCCUAACGCACAUCGCUUCAUCUAAGGGCCGAAGACCUAAUAGCACCAAUAACUUGUGUUAUUAAUAGUGUUCUAGCCUAAUUCAUAUUAUUAGUAAAUAAUUUAUUUUAAUAUUUAAAUAGGUUGUCGUGGACAGCGAGUACUGUACACAAAUGGUUCGGGCCUCAUAUCACAGGCUUAUGACAGGUAGGGCCUCACAUCUCACUAUCCAUACUUAGUUGCUCUCUUUUUCCAUUGUGUAAUAAUAGAAGUUCUUAUCGUUCUUAGAGCAAGUGGUAAAAGAUUUGGCGGUUGAUCGUCGAGAUCUCAAGUUCGAAUUCUAAUUGAUUCACAUUUUCAACUGAGUUUAUUUUUAAAUAAAAUAAACGAAGCGGAUAGCGUGCUAUUUAUUUUUCAAAAAAAAUAAUAAUAAUAGAAGUUCUUAAUUACUACUCAACAUAUUCUUUACAAAUGAGGCAUAUGAUCGAGUAUAUGACUAUACAUAAAUGAACUCUCUCUCUCUCUCUCUCUCACUCUCUUUAUUGUUCUCAAAUUCCAGGACAGAAACAGUCCACACCAUCUCAACAGUUUCUUGGACCAAUUAAACAUAAACAAUACAUUUACUUCAUUAAAAAAAAUGAUUCAAAAAGAUCUUCUGAAUCUCCAAUCAAAUACUAUAUUCACUAAACAUGCAUGUACAACGCAGAGGAUGAUACAGAGGGAACAAGGUGCACAUUUGCAUAUGACGAGCUAAGCAAAUACAGAUGAAUCUGAUCUGAAACUUAUACGUGCAUGCCACCCAUGAUGGGAGCAUCUACCAAGUAAUACGCGCAAUUUCACGUGCUUUCCUCUUCAUCAUUUACAACCUACAUCUAUUUUUUUAAUUGUUUGUUUUAGCGUAGUUGUUUAAGAAUUUAAUAGUUGAUACUAAGAUCCUAAAUUUAAAUUUAUUCGUAGUAGAGUUAAUUUUUCAAAAAUGAACAUAACGGAUAGCAUUCUAUCUUCUUUUUUUUUUUAAAAAAAAAAACUUUAAAUACCACCAUGUGGUUUUGCAUUUUUUUAUUUUAAUACCUUAUAGUUUAAAGUGUAUCAAUUUAGUACCAUGUGGUUUCGUACUUUCUCAUUUUCGUACCCUAUGGUUUAAAGUGCACUAAUUUUGUAUCCUGUGGUUUUAUUUUUUUUUCUUUUCGUCGGCUUCUCUGUUAAUAUUUCGUUAAAUUAUAUACAAAAAACUUCAGAUACUCUAUCUAGGUUUAUCAAAUAUUUACUUUAGUACUCUUUAGUUUUAACUUUGUCACUGAUUUUUUUUUUCUCCGUUAAUAUUUUGUUAAAUUAUAUAGAAAAAACUUCAAAUAUCUUAUCUAGAUUUAUCGAAUAUUCAUUUUAGUACCCUUUAAUUUUAACUUUGUCAUUUAACGAAAAAAAAAGUAAAAUAGAUAAUAAAAAAAUAAAAUAAAAUCACAGGGUACUAACUUGAUACACUUUAAAUCACAGGAUAUUCAAGUGAGAAAGUGCGAAAUCACGGGGGUUAACUUAAUACAUUUUAAAUCACAGGAUAUUCAAGUGAGAAAGUGUGAAAUCACAGGAAAAAUCUUUGAAGUUUACCCUAAAAAAACAUAUGUUUUCUUGGGAGAACUCUUCGCGACAAAACAAGUUAUUAUAAUCGAAUUACCCAUCAAUGUAGUUCACUUUUCUUGAUGAUUAAGUUGGUUAAGCACAAGAGAACUAAGCCAAUUUUAUUGAUUUCCAUCAUGGAACAUGUGGUGGAGAGCUAUACUUUUUACUCCAUUUUUUGUUGGUUAAACUUGGGAAUAAUAAAUAGUAUUUGUAAAGCCAAAUAAUUUUGACGAAAAAUUGAAGAUUUAACAUCUUAAGCUUUAAAAACCAUAAAAUUAGUAGAUUAUUUAUGAAACCUAUUGCUUAAGAAUUUACAUGUUUUCACUUGUUAAAAUCAAUUGUGACGGCCAAACCUGCAAUUGAAUUGAAAGGUUGAGAAGUUGGAUGUUGCAUUUGCAGCUAGAGUACAACAAUAUAUUAUUCUUGGUUGAUUAUAAAUUUGGCCCUUGAAAUUUGAAGACUUUUUUUAUUUUCAUUCAAUAGAUUUAAUUGUGACAAUUUAGUUGUUGAAUUUUUUAUGUGAAAUAAUCAUGUUACUAAAGCCGUGGCUUUUUUUUUUUUUUUAUUGAUCUUAAUUAUCAAUAAGCUCGCCCUGAUGGAUCAAUCCAUAGGAAAUCAAGCUUUCACAUAGUCCGAAAUGUUAUCUGAAUCCGAAUUCAAAUGGAGCGAAUUUAUUCGAUACUAAACGGGCAUGGUUUUGAAUAUAGAUAUCAAAAAUAAAAACCCGACGGAUAUGAAUUUUGACUGUAUCCGAUCCGAACCCGAAACUUAAUUUAUUUUACAUUAUAUAUAAUACGUAUAUAAAAUUUGAUGUUAUAUUUGAAUUUGUAUUUUAAAAAUUUAGAUUUAAUGUAAUAUAUUUUAAAAUAUUGUUUUGAAUAUAGAUAUUAGAAACAAAAAUCCAAUGGAUAUGGAUUUUGACUGUAUCCGACCUGAACCCGAAUCCGAAUCCUAAUUUAUUUUACAUUAUAUAUAAUAUGUACAUAAAAUUUGAUGUUAUAUUUGAAUUUGUAUUUUAAAAAAAAUAGAUUUAAUGUAAUAUAUUUUAAAAUAUUGAAAAAAAUAAUUAUUUCGAAUUUGAAUUUUCGGGUUCGAAUUCUGGAUUUUCGGUCGGGUUCAACUUUGGAUAUGGAUUUUUAAAAUCUGUCGAGUUCGGAUUUGAAUUCGGAUUCGAAUUUCGAGUUUGGAGUCAGAUUCAGGUUCGGAUUUUUAAAAAUCUGCCCCGAAUCUGACCCGUUGACAUUCCUAGCUAAGAAGAACCUAGAACCAAUCCUACUCUCGACAAGUAUAAAAAGAAAUAUUCGAAUAUCGUGUUUUGAGAAAGUUUGGUUAACGCGGGAGGAUUUUAAGUAGAACGUCCUGGGCUGAUGGAACGAUGUGUUAGACAAAGACUUGAGCAUCCUAACAUUCACGACGAAAUUGUGCCGCUGUUAUAAGCGUAUUAAGGUAUUGUUUGAUUCAAAAAUAAAAUUUAUUUAUUUAUUUAUUUAUUUUUAGAAUAAAUAUAAUUUUUGAAAUAAGUAGGAAUCAGAUUAUUUUUACGUUUGAAUGAUAAUCGAAAUAUUGUGAGGGAUAAGAAAACACUGUGCCUGAGUAUUAUCUCACUCUCCCAAUCAACUUUUUGAAAGGGAGGCUUCUUUUGGACUCUUUAGUCAUUGCAAGUGAGUUAGUAAUUAAGGUGGAAAACUAAGAUGAAGGUUAAAGGUAUUGGACUAAGAGAAGAUUUUGAGAAGACGUAAAAUAAGGUAAACUGAUAUUUUUUUUUAUACGAUUUUAAGAAGGCUUAUUAUGUCGUUUUAUUUUUAGUUUACUAAAAGGGUUCAUUGUUAAAUAAGGUAUCAUCAUUUGUUUUUUUUAAAAAAUUUUACUUUACUGUUCUAUUUGACCACAGGUUUUUAUUAUUGACAUAAAAUAAAGGCUAAAUUAUAUAAAAUCAUCAUGUCAAAAUCUGAUUUUUUUUACUUUUUCCUUCUGUCAUUUAAAAACCUACAGUUUACCUUCUUGUAAAAUAAAAAAUAUUCACAGGGGGAAUACGAUGUGAACUGUGAUGACAAAAUGAUCAUUUUGUUUCUCACCAUUUUCGUCUCCUCCUUCAUCUUGUUCAUCCGUUACCUCAAUCGGUUGUGAUUCCUCUUUAUUUUUUUCUCCACCUGCUCCUUUUUCUCCUCCUGCACCCUCGUCACCCAUUCAUUUCGGCGACAGUAGAGAAAAAAUUGAGGUAGGCAUGAAUGGAGAGGCGGACAAGGCCAACGAGGGCGAAGACGAGGCGGCAGAGGAGGGCAAGGGGAUAUUUGUGGGCGCGGACAGUGAUGUGAGCGAGGGCGAGGUAGUGGAAGAGAGCGAGGCGGUGAGGCGGAGGAGGGCGAAGCAAGGGCGGAGAGUAUUUUUGGCAUAAAAAAUAUUUUAUAAUAGAACCUAAAGGAUUACUAACGGUAGAGGAUGAAGUGAACAUUUUUUAUUUUACAAGGGGGCAAAGUGUAGGCUUAUAACUAAUGGGGGGGAAGUGAAAAAUCGAAUUUUGACAGACGAAUUUUCUGUAAUUUAGCCUAAAAUAAAAUCACAAGACAGCUAAGUGCAACUUGUUGAAUCACAAGAUUACAAAUUAAAAAUGCGCUAAACCGCAUGGGACAAAUCAAAGUUUAUCCUUUUUCACAACCUGCUACAUAACUUGAAUCAAACGCGCCCUAAGGGUAAACUUUAAAUACCAUCAAUGUGGUUUCGUACUUUCUCAUUUUAGUACCCUGUGGUUUAAAGUGUAUCAAGUUAGUAUCCUAUGAUUUUAUUUUUCUUUUUUCGUUAGCUUCUCCGUUAAUAUUGCGUUAAAUUAUCUAUAAAAAACAUCAGAUACUCCAUUUAGAUUUAUUGAAUUUUCACUUUAGUACCAUAUAAUUUUAACUUUGUCAUUGAUUUAACGAAAAAAAAAUCACAAAUUACUAAAUUGAUAUAUUUUAAAUCGCAAAAUAUUAAAGUAAAAAAUACGAAACAGCAUGAGUGAUAUUUUAAAUUUUCCUAAUUAUUAGUGAGGCUGAUUUCACUUCAUCUGACUUGUUUUUUGUGGAAAAACUUCAAAUACCACCUCUGAGGUUUUACACUUUCUCACUUUAGUAUCAUAUGGUUUAAAGUGUAUCAAUUUAGUGUUCCGUGAUUUUAUUUUUAUCUUUUUAUUAUCAAUUUUAUUAUUUUUUUAUUAAAUCAGUGAUGACAAAGUUUUUUUUUUCAAGUUAAACUAAAAAGUACUAAAAUAAAUAUUCGACAAAUCUAGGUGGAGUAUCUGAAGUAUUUUAUAUAUAAUUUAACGAAAUAUUAAUGGAGAAGCUGACGACAAGAAAAAAAAUAGAACAACAGAACACUAACUUGAUACACUUUAGACCAUAACGUACGAAGCUACUGGGGUGGUACCUGAAGUUUAUCCUUUCCUUUAAAUUUUUUUUUUUUUUUUAUAUUAGAAUCUUUGUCACCAUCGUGUAGCUUCCGAGUGAGUGGGACGUUCUUGGCAUUUUGCGCACGUGUUUAUGCAUGCGUCGCCACAACCGCGUUGACAUGUUGCAGUUCCCAUCGUUCACGCAAUUGUGAAAAGAACCAUUAAAAAUAGGAAAAGUUUACUCAAUACCCUUCUAAAAGUACAUAUUUUCACUAACACGUCUAUAAAAAUUAAAAUAUUACAAUGCCCCUCAAAUUUUGAAAAACUUUCAAAAUUAUCUUCAUAUGUAACUUUUUAUCCAGAUUGAAGUAAACGGUGAGCAAAUUCCUAUUAUACCCUUUGUUUUACUUUUCAUCGAUGCCCUCUGAAAUUUUAACUCAUAAAUACACUUUAAUUAUACUAAUUAGUGAAUUAAUUAUAUUAUUUGAAAAACAUUAAAUAAAAUGCCGUAUAAAUUUUUUAAUUAGAUGCUAAUAAACAAUCUCAUAAAAAUUGUUGACAAAUCUUUUAAAAUCAAUUAUAAAAAACAAUUUCAUAAUAAUUACGGAAUGUUAUGAAAAAAUUACGAAAUAAUUUUAAAUACAGUUAUCUUUUCUUAUAUAGAAAAUAUAUGGAGCUCUCUCAACAGUAAGCUAUUUUGAAAUAGCUCAUCAAUUUUAUUAAAUAUUUUAUCACCGUCUUCUCUCUUAUUAGCUUUGAUUUAUUUUAAGUAUUAAAAUGAGAACUUCGUAAAUUUAAACAAUAAUAGUAUCAAUUUAUGAUGGCUUUGAUUGGUUGUUUUAUGAAGAAUUUAAAGCUUAUAGCAAAUGAACCACUUAAUUUGACAAAUUUGCCAAUUAUAUGGACCAAAGGAAAGUUUAAAAAGUUUACGUGCCUGUUUCAAAACAAUCUACAUUUGAGGGUCUUAUACACAUUAUUGUCAUUAGUUAAUAGGAGAGCAAAUAAUGAGUAUUCCACCCAGAGAUUCAAAAUAAGGGGCAAAAUAGGCAAUUUUAUAUUUAAUAUAUUUUAUAUAAUAAAAAAUAAUAUAUUAAAAUUAUAUAAACUUACAAAGGCUAACGACCAGGAUAAAGUUAAAAUAAAGUAGGUAUUCUAAUGUAUUAAAUAUAACUAAAUUUUCAUAUGUAAAACUUUUUUUAUAAAAUUUUAUGGUGAAUUUACUAUUGAUUUGAGACAAUGACAAAAUGCAGCAUGAGAAUCGGUAUAUUUUUAGUUGUGAGAAGCUAAAUUGCUGAGUAACCCCUCCCAAAUGGAUAAAUUUCACCACUAGUCCCCAAAUUUUUAGCCAAGAUUUAUUUUAGUCCCAUGCUAUUUAGUUCGAGAUUAGCGGUUUCCAAACUCUUAAAAGAGUUUUAUUUUACUUAUUAUCUAUAUUUUCUGUUUUUUUGAGAGAUAGGUAGCACGCUAUCCGCUUCGUUUAUUUCAUUUGGAAAUAAACUUAGCUGGAAAUAUGAAUCAACCAGGAUUCGAACUUGGGUCUCGGGUACCAACCACCAAGCCUUUUGCCACUUGCUUUAGGGACGAUCGGUAUUAUCUAUAUUUUCUUUUAGAGGGUGAAUUAUUGGCUACACGCCUACCACUACAAAAAAAAUGGUAUAUAGCUACACUUUUAAAUAUAGGUACAUGUCAAAAAAGUACUGAUAGCUAAAAUUACCGACACUUUUAAAAAGUGUUGCUAUAUGUGGGGUCGCUAGGUAUAUAGUGACAGUUAAAGAGUGUCGCUAUAACCUAAAAGAGUGCUGGUAAUUUACCAACACUUAUUUAAGCAUUUAGCAACUGCUGAAACCCUAUCUCGUUGGCUGCGGUGGCGGAGGAGGACGACAGGAAAGGCUCUUCGUCUAGAAUUUCAGUGGAUUGGGUGAAGAGAGAAGAAAAGAUGGUAAUUGAUUUUUUUUUUUUUUCUGUUUGUAAUCGGGCCAAAUAGACUGGGUGUGGUGGGUUGAGUAGAGUAAUCUUUUAUUUUUGGUUGGAUUGAGCUUUAUAUUUAGGCAUUAGUAGAUGUUUUUUUAAGUUUUAGGAUAAAUAAGACACUUACUCAAAAAUGUCCCAAACAUAUAUCCCUAUAACCUAACACACAGUGUAUUUGCACAUCUAUGUACAAUAAAUUUACUGGCUCUUUUAAUUUCCUAUAUAAAGUUUCAAUGCCACCACCCAUUUCAUUAAAAUCCUUUCUUUAUAGAUAAAAAUUGAACUGUUGGAAUUGAAAGUUCAAGAUAGAUAAAAGAUAAAUUAUAAAUAUAUAUAUAAUGUGUCAGAAGAAGUUUUAAUGUAAUGAACUUGUUUUUGUCCAACAAAUAGGGUUCGAAAUGUUGGUUCAAUAAAAUAUAAAGUUGUCAGAUUAGAUCUUUGGUUCAUAUCUGAUAUAGUUGGUUAAAAAUUUGAUGGUUGAUAUCUAAAGUUCCAAAUUCGAAACUUAGUUACUNUUGUCAGAUUAGAUCUUUGGUUCAUAUCUGAUAUAGUUGGUUAAAAAUUUGAUGGUUGAUAUCUAAAGUUCCAAAUUCGAAACUUAGUUACUUUUUAUUUCUAACUAAAAUUAUUUUUAAAAAUAUAAAUAAAGCAGAUAUGAACAAAAGAUCUAAUCUAACAAAUUCUUAAAAAAAAAAAAAGAAGACACCCAUUAGGCGAGGGAUGGGGGAAAAUAAUUUUUUUAAUAGUUUUUAUAAAAUUAAGUGAAUAUAUAGUGUUUUCAAGGCACAUAUUUUAAUUUUUUGUAGGUAUUUAUAUUGGUUUAGAUUGAAGCAAACAAGACUUUUGUGUGUUGGACUUUUGGGUGCAUAUUGAUGUAACCAGCCUAACUAUGGAAGUGGGUCUAUGUCUUUAAUUAUUAUUAUGCAUACAUUAAAGGAAGCUUUUAUAUUUAAAAGUUCCCAAGACAAUUGAAUAUGCAUGGUUGAAACUUUUGGUACACUAUAUACUACUUUUUGACAAAGUCAGAAAAAAGUAAAAUAAGAUUAGACUUAAUUCAAUGAAUUGGGAUUAAUACUAGAAAAUCAUCAUUUAUUUUAAAAAGUUUAACUAUUAGAGAACUACGAUGUUUUGUUAAAUAAUGUAAAACAAUCGAUAAUUUCUGAAAGGUUAAGCUAUCAUAGGGCGUUAUAUUCAGCAAAAUGUGAAAAAGAAGAAGAAGAAGAAAAUUGGCACCUUUAGGAGCAUUUCUUAGGUUUUUACCUGGUACAUGGGCAUUCUAAUUAACUGAGGUUGGCUAAUAAUCCCUUAUACUUUUAACUGACUUAAAUAAAAUAGUUAGCUAUGUGCUAUGGAAAGUGUUUCUGUAACGCUUACACCAAAUAGAAAUUAUAAAUCACAAAACUUAGCCAUGUGUUCUGUUUUUUGUUUGAAAGAAAUAUAGUAAGCUAACUCAGUUACAAAAGCAAUUUGGCUUUCAACUUAAAAUUUUAAGUACCAAUCAUUAAAUCUUAGUUAACUGUGCUAGCUAUGGUUGGUAACUUAAUUAGCCAUGUAUCACUCAUAGACUAGAUAUGUUUACUAUCAUUGGUGCUUUAACCUAUUAAGAUGCUAUUAUUUUUUGGCUAACCAAUCAUCUAACUAGUCGUUGUGUGACUAACAUUUACUUAUUCUAACCGACCGUCCCUAGCGCAAUUAGCAAAAAGGCUUGAUGGUUGGUACCCGAGACCCAAGUUCGAAUCCUAGUUGCUUCAUAUUUCCAGCUAAGUUUAUUUCUAAAUGAAAUAAACGAAGCGGGUAGCAUGCUACCCUUCUCUCAAAAAAAAAAACAUUUACUUAUUCUACAUAGAGUUUUGUUAUUGUACAAAGAAUUUUCCUGGAAGCAAUAAUCUAAAUUGGUUUUUCUUGAUCAUGAUAAUAAAUAUUAAUUGUAUGACCAUAGAAACCCGAAAAAAAAAAAAAUUUGAUGGACACGGUCCUUAAUGGUAGAUAGGCUGAUAUGUUCGUUCACACAGUUUUAAAAUUCAUUCCGUUUACUAGGCCAUAGAUAAAAUAAUAUCAUGUUAAGAGUUGUUCUUACGAACAUUUUGUUCCCAAGAACUGCAUUAUUUGUCCAAUAUCAGAACUCCCAAAUAAGUAGGGAUUCAAAUGAAUCUGGAGUCUCUCGCCUCAGUCUGAUCCAAAUAGAGCAGUAAGUGAUGGUCAAAAAUAACAAAAAAAUAAUUCAUUCCAAAUCUAACUUGAUCCGUAAAAAAAAAGAAAAAGAUGGAGCGGGUGAUGGGGGACAUUUUUCUUUUUUUGAUCGGUCAUAAUCUGCUAAAACCCCGCUCCUGUCUCGCCCCACCACGCCUCGAAUGGAGCCAUAAGUGGGAACAAAAAUAAUAAUAAAAGUUAGUCCAUUCGGAAUUCAUCCCAAUCUAUUAAAAAAAAAGAAGAUGGUAGGUAGAGGACCCUCUCCCCGAAUUUGCCUAGUUUGCAUCUCUAGUCCCAAAAGAUUUGGAUGGAUAGUUUGAGAUUUUGAGGCUAGUAUUGAGAUAUGUAAAAUAUAUGAAGCAUUUAUGACGCCAAUCAGUGGAUUAAAUUGUACACGCAUGCCUUUCACCUACAUUACGUUUACUUAGCCCAAUGCACCAGCAACGAAGCUAUCUUUUUGGAAAAAAAAAGAUUAUUAUAAACAACCAAAUUGUUAAUACAAUAAUAAUCUAAGCACAUGAACUAUUAUUUUUUGGAUUGAGAAGCGAGUGAAUGGUUGAUAUAGCAAGAAAAUUAAAAAUUUAUGUCUAAUAUUAAGAUUUUCAUAAGCCUAACAGUAGACUAAGCCAUCUUGGAAAAUAAAUAUAUUAUUUGGAACUGGUGCACAUGUUGGUCCACAAACUAUUCGAGUUGAAAUACAACAAAUUACCUCUACAUUGUAUCCAUCCAUCAUUCUCAUUUUUACUCCUUUCGUCGUGUGAAACAGCCAUGCAUGUUAUAAAAAAUCCAAGGUUAAAGUAUAUGGACAGUCCCUAUACUAUUUUGAUAUUGCAAUGUAGAAACUUUGCACUCAUACACUUUAUUUUAUAAAUUUUUAGUAUAUUGUAGUUCAUUCCUCACCGCACAAAAAUUCACCUUUUUUUAUAAAAUUAUUAGUUUACUCUGUUUUUUUGGUGAAACAAUGUUUAUGUUUUAGUAUUUCAAACACAGCUACUUGUAGAAAAACAAAAUACAUUUUUUGUAGCGCUCAAAAAUUGGAAGUGCAGAGAAAGUUCAAAAAAACAAAAAAUAUUUAAAUAAAACAAUUGAAAAAUUAAAUUGUGAUAUUGAAACAGUACAAGAAAACUCUCCCUAUAUUUUACCUAAAAAUAAAAUCAAGACAUAUAUCCACGAACAAAACUUUAUUGAAGUGCUCUUCAACUAGAACAGCGAGUGUCAAGCGUGAGACUGUAAUCUUUAGAAAUAAUCUCAAAAUGAAACUUUACGUUUUUUACUUUUCUUUAGAGAGCUCCCUACUGAAGUUUCAAAUUGCGUGCAUGCUAUCUAGGCCCAGACACCUCCUGCGACGACACGUAGGACUGCGCCGUCGUCGUGCUCAUCACCGAGCCAGUCGUGUCGCCUCCGGUGAAGAACCCCUUGUGCGCCGCCGCAUCCAUCCCCUCGUUGCUCGCGGGGUCGACGUACCCACGUCCGUAGAGGCGGAGGAAGCCGAGCGACUCGACGCGCGGCUCCGAUGCCUCGGCCUUCCCCUCCAGCAUCCCCACCAUCGCCGCCAUGCUCGGCCGCAGCGCCGGCUCCUCGUGCAGGCAGCAGAGCGCCACCUUCACCACCCGCCGCCCGUCCCGCUCGACCACCCCCCGGACUCUCCGUCGCUCACCCGCACGCUCCGGUUCUUGCGUCCCCGCAGCAGCUCCAGCAGGACCAUCCCGAAGCUGUACACGUCGAUGCGGUCCGAUAUCGCGGCGUUCGCCAGCCACUCCGGCGCCAGGUACCCGCGCGUCCCGCGCAUCGUCGUGAACAGCCCGGACUGAUCCGGCCCCAUCAGCUUCGCCAGGCCGAAGUCCGCGAUCUUCACCUGCCCGCCGUCGGCCAGCAGUAUGUUCUCCGGCUUCACGUCGCAGUGCACGAUCUUGUGGUCGCACUCCGAAUGCAGGUACGCGAGCCCCCGCGCCGCGCCUACCGCCACCGCCAUCCUCUCGCCCCACUCGAGCACCGGUCCGGCGCCGCUGCCGAAGAGGGGCCGGUCGAGCGAGCCCCGGUUCAUGAACUCGUACACGAGCAGCCGCCGCGCGCCUUGCGCGCAGAAGCCGCGGAGGCGCACCAGGUUCACGUGGCGGAUGUUGCCGAUCACCGCGAUCUCGGUGCAGAACUCGCGCCUCCCCUGGAACCCCACCCCCUCGAUCUUCUUCACGGCGACCGGCGACUUGUCGGGGAGCUCGCCCUUGUACACCGACCCGAACCCGCCGGACCCGAUCUUCGUCCGGAAGUUGCCGGUCACCACCUCUAGCUCCUCGUACGUGAACCGCGUCGGCAUCCCGGGGAUCAGUAUCUCCUCGCCCGCGUCGUCGUCGUCGUAGUCGAAAUCCGAACUAGCCCGGCCGGGCGACUUGUGCCGGCCGAGCUGGAUCUCCUUCAUGACCAUGGUUUUGAAUCUUUUCAUCCUCUUCUUGAUCCGCUUGCGCCACCACACGAGCAUUAUGAGCGCCAGCAUGAAGAUGAGCAGGAACGCGGCGAUCGACGGCAGCAGGAUCGCGACGAGAUGCGUCGUCGGGGAGUUGCUGGAGGGAGUAUUCGGCGGCGAUGCGGUUCCUACGAUCUUGAUGUAGCCCAAGGUGUCCGCCGCCUCGCUCGCAGUGGAAUUGAGGAAGGAGCCCAUCUGGUGCUCGAGGAUGUAGCAGGACUUGGACGAGCCGUCGAAGAAGUAGCCGAUGCAGGAGCAGUUGCCGGUGCAGAUGCCCCGGCACGUCGGCUCGUCACGGCCGGAUGACACGGGCGCCGCGAACUUGUUCUCGAAGUACACAGUACCGCUUCUGAGGCUCAAGUACGACGACGACGAUUUGGACAAAUCGUUGCUGCCACACGAAGACGAGGAGGCGAGGACGGAGCCGUCGCCUGGCAGGCAGCCACCGUUAGGCGACGGGGCGAAGAGCGGCAGGCAGUUGCAGCUGGGGGAGUUGCCUUUCGGCGUGCAGAGGUUGAAGGUGCCGCACGACAGCGGGAGGUCGCAGGGGCCGCUCGGCGCGACGAAUUUGCUGCUGGACGGCGAUGAGGAGUUGAGCGACGAGUAGCUGGUGAUCUGAAGCCGGCCGUCGGAGCCCAGUUUUACGAUCCGUAAUUCUGCUGCCGGAAGGUACACCUUGAUGACCACGCCGCCGACGGAGGAGAGGAGGGAGAGCCCGGUGUAAUUCGCGGUCAUGAAGGCGACCGCGUCGUCGUCAUCCUUAAUGGACCGGACGUUGACGACGAGGCGGUAGUCGCCUUCGGCGAAGUCGUUGUCGGAGACGUAGGAGGUCAAGUAGGAGCCGGUGGGCACCAGCUGCGAAGAGAGGAGGGAGUCGGAAGGGUGGUCGAAGGAUUGCCACAAAGUCGCGUUCGCGGCAUUGACGAGGAGGAGGUUGCCGCUGUCGAGGAGGCGGAGCGCGGCGACGGAGGAGCGGAGCGUGGGAGUUGACCAGAGGAGGGAGCCGUUGGAGCUGGUGAUGGAGAGGCCGAGAGUGGAGAGGAGGACGAGGCCGGAGUUGUCGGGGAUCGGCGCGGCGCGGUUAGCGGCCCAGACGACGGUCUUCGACGCCGCGUGGAGGACGGCGAGGUAGUAGCGCGACUGCUGGUUCGGCGGAUUGAAAACUGCGGCCUGGAAGGCGCUGCUGCCCGACGCGAGGAACACGCCGUAGGUGUCGAAGAAGAGCAGCGCAGAGGCACUGAAGUUGGGGUAUAUGAAUUCGACGGCGACCUUGGUGGUAGCGUCGGCAACAUAGAAGAAGCGGAAGCAGAGGAGGAGGAGGAGGAGGAAACUAGAGAGUUUGAAUAAGGAGGAGGAGGAGGAGGAGGAGGAGGAGGAGGGAGACAUUGGGGAGUGAAAUGUGAGCCCAUGCGGGGAGGUGGUGUUGGACUAGGGGGGCAAUGGGUAGUUGAUUCGGUGAGCGUUGACUUGAGUUGGGGGACAACGAGGAUUGUGAUUGGUGGAUCGUACCUGGCAAAAGUAUCUCAGUUUCAACGGGAAGCAGUGGGACCCACCGUCUGACUGUGUAUGUUAGCUGGGGAACCACGGACCCGGUUAAACUAAGGGGCAUUUAGUUGCAUACUUACAAUUACCUUACGGUUAUAACUAUAUGCAAGUACAAAUUUAAUAUUUAAUUUAAUAUAUUUAAUUAUACUGUUGCAGUUUUUUUUACUAUAAGAGGAUAUUCAACUGUAGUAAUUGAAAUUACGCAUAAAUUGACCGUAGUUUCAACUGCAGCAGUUGGAGAAAAUAACUUUAAAUAAAAUAUAUGCUUGCCUCUUUAAUUAAUUUUUUUUAAAAAUUAUUAUUAUUUUUACAUUGGAGGUAAUCUCAUCGUCAUAUAAAUAAAAUAAUAAAUUUUUAAAAAUCAUUUUUCAACUGCAUAAAAUUAGUUGCGGCGAUUUCUACAGCAUCCACUUAAAUAGGAUACAUAUAUAGUUACAACUGCUGUAUUUUUAACUACAUAUAUCUUAAACUACACUAAAUUUAUAAUGGCAUCUAACCAAAUAUCCUCGGUGCUAUUAUACAUCGUAGUACAAAAUGCAUUGUCGAGAGUUUGAUUUGCGAGCAGAAGGUAGUAUUGUUUUCAUAUUAGAAUUGUGUAUUUUUUUUGGAUAACUUACUAUUUUACUUAUUGACGUACAAAAUAAAAUAUUCAUCCAUUCAAACAAAACUGAAAUAGAUAAAAGAAAAAGAGUUAGACAAGUUUGCAGAACUUACUCUACGAACUACUAUUAGGGCUAAUAAGCCUUUUUUUAAUUUUUUGCGGGAAGUUAGAGUUAAAUGACCUUUUUAGUAAUCGUGCAUGCAAAGGAUCGAACCCCAAAUACUUUGAUCGACCAUGUAGGGUGCUGAUCAGCUGCAUUUGAUAGAAACAGCAAGAAGUGAGAGAUGCCGGGCGGCAAAAAGGAUUUUAGGAUUUGGAGGCAUCGGAGGUGAUUCUACAAAUUAAAUUUUAGGGUACGUAAAUUUUACAUACUACUUCUGUAGUCUCGUACUUUCUCAUUUAGCAUUUUAUGGUUUAUAUUGUAUCAAUUUAGUAUUCUGUGAUUUUUUUUUUUUUUUCGUCAGCUCCUCUAUUAAUAUUUCGUUAAAUUAUAUACAAAAAAACUUCAGAUACCCCACAUAGGUUUAUCGAAUAUUCACUUUAGUACCUUUUAGUUUUAAUGUUGUCACUGAUUUAAUUAAAAAAAAAAUUAGUAGAAGAAAUAAUAGAAAAAAAAAAAUCACGGGGUACUGAAUCCAUACACUUUAAACUAUAAGGUACUAAAUUGAAAAAAUACAAAACUAUAUGGAUAGUAUUUAAAGUUUUUCUAAAGUUUAUAUGGCAAAACAUGGAAAGACUGAUAGCAUAACAACAAACAGUUAUAUCAUAACUUCAUUCUUCUUUUUUAAGAUAUGUUUUCUUUUUUCUUCUAUUUUUUGGAGAGCUCUCUCGACUUGAUUGUCGUGAAUUUGGAAGCAAUUUUUCGUCUUGCAAAGAAUAUGGUUUUAAAAUUUAUGACUCUACUAAAACCCAAUUCUUGUCACAGAACAAAAACAUUAAAAUAAAAAAUAUAUUAAUUAAUUAUACUCAAAUAGUACUUUAUUAUAUAGAGAGAGAGUUGAGCUGAAAUACUAUUAAUAGUAUUUGGCAUCUUUUGUCUUCUUUUAGAUCAUACUAUUCAACCAAUCACCCACUCAACCCUAAGGGUUCACCAUCAUUUUAAUUCUAUAAUUUUUUAUCUUAGGGUUAAAAACUCGAUAAUAAAAAAGCUCAAAUAUUAUUAACAGUAAUCCAACCCAAUUCUAUAUAUAUAUAUAUAUAUAUAUAAAGAGAGAGAGAGAGAGCAGGAUUAUUAUGGUAUUAGGAGUACAGCAGUGCUUAUGCUUCUAACUUCGUAACUAUUCAUCAAUUUUGAUGAAUGGUUAGAGUGAGAGAGAAAAAAAAAAUUAAAAAGAAAUUCAAAAAAAGAAAAAUUGAGACACAUAAUUUCAUCUCAAUUUUUUUUCUCUCUCAUCCUAAUCAUCCAUCAAAAUUGAUGAAUGGUUAGGAAGUUAGAAGUAUAAGGACUGAUAUACUCUUAAUAUCAUAGUAGGCCUGCUCUAUAUAAUAAUAAUAAUAAUAAUAAUAAUAAUAAUCAACCGUUCAUAGCGCAAGUGACAAAGGGUUUGAUGGUUGGUAUCUGAGGUCCUAAGUUCGAAUCCUAAUUAAUUCAUAUUUCUAGCUUAAAUUUAUUUCUAAUUUUUAAAUGAAAUAAACGAAUCAGAUAAUACGCUAUUUAUCUCUCAAAAAAUAAUAAUAAUAUAAGUGUAUUUUAUUGAGCAAAGUGUGCUAUGACAAUUUGGUUCAUAAAGUUUAAAUUAGAAUUGGAAUAUAUAAAUACAAUCUUUAGGGUGCGAUUUUGGAAUGGAAGUUAGAAUGGAUUGGACGGAUCGCAUGUCAUUAUCGCUUGCGCGUGCGCCGUAAUCUCCCACUUCCUUUCCCCAUGCUCUGCUUUCGUGUAAGGUUGAGUUACUCUCUGCAUGAUCCAAAAAACUUAUUUGACUUCUGAAUUAUGUUUUUUUUUUUUUUUUUUUUGAGAGAGAUAGAUAGUAGGCAUGCAAACGGGGCGGAUCCGGGGGCGGGAGAGUUCCCCCACCUCCCGCUCUAUUUCUUAUCGGGGCGGGGCGGGGCUGAUUCGGGGCGGAUUACUUUUCAUUUUAUUUUUGGCUCCCACUUACCGCUCCAUUCGGUGUGGAUCGGGACGGGAGCCGGAUUUUUGACGAAUCGGGACGGAUUGAAGGAAGAAAAGAGUCUCCCACCUCCCGCUUCAUUUACUUGGCGGAUCGGGGCGGAUUCGGGGCGGGUUAUAUUUUUUUAUAUUUUUUGUUCCCACUUACCACCCCAUUCGGGGCGGAUCGGGGCGGAGCUCCACCAACCCGGAUCCAUUUGCAUCCCUAAUAGAUAGGCGGCACGCUACCCACUUUGUUUAUUUUAUUUAAAAAUAAACUUAGCUGGAAAUGUGAAUAAACUAGGAUUCAAACUUAGGAUCUCGGGUAUCAACCACUAAGCUUUUUGCCACUUGCUCUAAGGACGGUCGGUUGAAUUAUAUUAAUUUGACUAUUCAAUUCGUUAAAAAUUUAAUUGUACUAUCCAACUAUUCAAUUUAUUUAAUUUGAGUCAGUCAAUUUAAAUUAAUUACUUAUUUUUAUCAAUUUAUAGUUGCGAGAAUUACAUAAAAUAUAUUAAUUAAACCUAUAAACACAAAUAACAUAUUCAAAUUUUGAAGGUAAAGUUUCGUUAACUAAUUCAAAUCAAACAAAUUGAAUAAUUGGGUAGUAAAAUCGACAUCUUUAAAGGUUGGAAAGCCAAAUCAAAUUAAUCCAUAGUUUAGAUAAAUUUUGUAUAUUUUUAAUAUUAUUAUAAUAAAGGUAUGUUUUUGCACAAUUAAAAGGACUCAAAUGAGUAGAGUAUAUAUACACUAUAAAGAGAGUUUUGGUAAUUUCAGAAUAGCCAAUAGUUAAGGGAUCUCCAUACAAUUUUACUGUUUGUCUCCACCAACGGUUCUUUUUGGAUGGGGGUGGGCCUCUAACAUGAAGGCCCAUAUGUGUUAAUAAUGGAUCCGUCAAAGGAAAUGGACCCAAAUUAAAUAGGAUUCUCACGCCACCAACGCUUCCACGUUUAAAUCGCGAUCCCGUACUCCUCCUCGAAACACUACAAACUCCUCCCAAUUGCCGCGAAUGGCGUCCUCCGCCACCGCCAGUAAGCUCACCGCCCCGCCCCCGUCAAUAUGCCCCCCCUCCUCCUCCUCGCGUCUCCCCACUCGGUUCCGGUCACUGCCGUUUCCGGUCACCGUCCCACCGCUCACCUCCGCUACCCCCCUCGCCUCCCCCAGCCAAACCCUAAACCUAACCCGCGUCGCCUCCCUCCGCCAUUAAAAUGCGCUGCUCUGCCUUCGGCGACCUCUCCGCACCCACCCCGAAACCCUAAUCCCUCGCUGGUCGAUGGGUUCCUCCUCGUCGUCUCCUUCCUCGGAAUCCUGCCCCGCGAUUCCCCUGAGCGAUGGAGGCGCCUUUUGGCUAUCUCGGAGGAGGCGGAGUCGAGGCUCGCGGGGAUCCCGCCGCAUCUGAUCCACGCCAUUACGAGCUCCGAGGAUCGCCGCUUCUUUUUCCACCCGGGGGUCGAUUGCCACGGCAUCUCGCGGGCUAUUGUGAAGUACCCCAAUGGCGGUGGUGGGAGCACCAUUACGCAGCAGGUAUACUAUUCGGCUUUGAUAUUUUUGAGGUGGUUCGGUUUCUCUCCGAUCGGGGCAAUAUUUUUUUUUAAUAUGAUUGUUGUGGAGUAUCAGGAAUUGAUCCUUGUCAAUUGUGAACGGUAUGGAAAAUGCCAGAUAUUUAGAUUGUUUGCAAACAUUUAGAUCGAUAAGCUUGAUUAUGCUUAAUUGGUCAUCGGAACAAUCAGAAAAACUAUGCUAUAAUUCAGUAAAAGGCAUUGAAUCGCUUGAACAAUUGCAAACAAGCUUUUGAACAAUUCCUUAUAUGUGGUUCAUAUUUGUUCAGAUAAUCUUUUUGCAAAAUCAGGUUCAUUUUAUUAUCAUUGACACUAAAUUUCAUGAGAAAUUGGCAAUUAUCCUGCAUUUACUGUACAUCUAUAGCAAUCAGUGGUGCCAGGAACGCAUUUUCUUGGGUGACAAUAUUGAUCAAUUUUCUGUUCUGCUUGCAUUAUCUGUCUGAAUCACUUGCUCUUUAACAAGCUAUUAUGAAACUCUAACACCUAAUUGCCAUUUUCUCUUUUCAGGUGAAUAAUGGUUUAGAUAAAUAACUAUAUCUAGUUCUGCGCACUUAUUUUCUUUUUCUCCAUAUGGCAGCUAAUGAAGAGAAUCUUUCUGACAAGUGAACGGAAAAUAUCAAGAAAAUUCAUAGAGGGGUUAUUGUCACUGCUGAUCGAGAAGAGAAUGUCUAAAACGAAAAUAUUCUAUUCGUACUUGAGCACGGUAAUAGCACUUAUCUUUUCCAGCAAUUUCUCUGAGAUUAUGUCUCUUGUUUUAGGUCACUUCUUAAACACAAUAAUAGAUUAUUUAUUUUUGAGAACUCUCACCCUGAUAGAUUGCAGAAUUUAUGUGCUCAAAUCCUCCAAAUAUCAAAGGAAAUACCUGAACUUUUGAAUUUCAAUUGUCUUGCUAGCGUGUAAAUGGAUAUGGCUAGGAGAGCAGAUAAAUUUAGCUUGAAUGUUUUCUACUUUGAUUCAAGAAAUGCCAUGAUUAAUGUCUUUUAUUUGUGGAACCAUCUUUGAUUUGGUUUAUUUUCUAAACAGAUGUACUGGGGACAUGGAAUGUUUGGAAUUGAAUCAGCAUCUUCCUUCUACUUUCAGAAGCAACCUAUCUUUCUCACUGUGGGAGAGUCAGCUUUGCUGGCCGGAAUAUUACCUGCUCCUGAGAUUCUAAAUCCUUUUACGGACCCUAGAAGGUUGUUUAGAUUAAUAUUUUGCAGCUGCUAUUGUGACUAUCCCUUACAUAUCUUUUUAUUACUUUUCAGUCAAAGGAACGUGUGAUUUAUUACAUCAAGAUAUAGCCCACUUACAUAGUUAAGCGAUAUUUUGGCUUUUUUUUUCCCCUGAAAAGUAACAUUUUUUUUCACUUUGUUAAAGAGGCAAGUCCUCCCAGCAACGGGUACUCAGAAGGAUGGUAGCAGAAGGGUUUCUUGACAUGGAGACAGCACUUAAGGUCGCAAAACAACCUCUUCGUUUGCAUAAGGAAAACAAGGUAAUGUGUUAACAUGUUCCAGAAAAGCAUAUAUGAAGCCUGAUUUCUUUUUAUUUUCGGAACACACAUCGUUUCAACUCAUGCUACUCUUUAACUGAUUGUAUCAAUCAGGAAGUUUUAGUAUGAGGAAUUAAAGGGACAGUCGGUUUGAGGACCAUUUACCCUUGUCAUCUUUCAUGCAUGAGCUUUCAGUCUGUUGGAAGAACUAUCAUUUAAUAAGAAGGUAUUAUACUGGAAGUCUCAAUUUUCUUCUGGAACUCUCGGUUUUCCUUCGCAUGGUCAUCUAUUUAUUUAGUCCUCUAUCAUCAAAACUUGUAGUCAAAAAUUAUUUCUUAUGAUUUGUUACUCUUAUGGUGUAUGAGCUGUAUGGGUGUGUGAAUAUCUUGUUCAGUAUAUCUCUUUUGUUUAGUCGAGGGGUAUAUGGUAAUUGGCUGAUGGGGAAUAUAGGAAGAUAUAUCUCUUUUGUUUAGUCGAUGGGUAUAUGAUAAUUGGCUGAUGGGGAAUAUAGAAAGAUGUUUGUGAAAAUAUGUUUGCAACCAUAUAUUCUAUGUGGCUUGUAAAAUCAUUUUUAUCAAAAUAUGGUGAAUUGCCUUGUAGCACAAUUAUGAAAAGUAAUGAUUAUUGGAACUUGCAAAUUACAGUGAGUUGACACAAAACUCCUAGUUGUAAUUACAAAAGACUGUUCGCAUUCUGCACAUAUUAUCAAUGACAACUUGUUCUUAUGUUGAAUCAGGCCUUUAGUAAGUUAUUUCUCUAGGCGGAUGAUUGGGUACAAAGAUAUUCCGAGUAGCUUACUUUAGACUAAGGAUUGCCAUGCCAAUCGCAUGGGGCAUGCCGUUGUGCCUUCGGCAUGGCAUGGCAUGGCACAAAGGCACGCCCUGUGCUAAUGUCGGCAUGGAGGCUCUAGGUGGAUGAUUGGGUACAAACAUAUUCCAAGUAGCUUACUUUAGACUAAGGAUUGCCAUGCCAAUAGCAUGGGGCAUGCCAUUGUGCCUUCGGCAUGGCAUGGCACAAAGGCACACCCUGUGCUAAUGUCGGCACGGGCCUCCAUGCCAGUGAAACGCAACUGGCACCCUAACAUGGAUUGCCACAUUAUUUUAUUAGUUUUUAUGAAAAAAUAGUUUCUCGGAUUACGUUAUUAGUUUUUUAUGAAAAAAUAGUUUCGUAGAGUGUGUUUUAAUAUCUCUAAUGCCUUUAAAAAUGAUUUAGUUUUAAUAUUUCACAAAGUUUAGUAAGAAUAGAAUCACAGACAUCUUGAUAACUCAAGAAUGUCAUAUUAACAUAUUUUCUUAACAUAUUGUAAAAGUGCAUUCAGGAACAAGAAAUUGCAGUCAUAAUUGGAUAAAGAAUUAGAGGAAAACACUACAAUGGAUAAACUCGCUAGAUCAUUAUAACUCGGUCUAAUUAUUUAAUUGGAACGCACUAUUUGCUCAAAAAGUUGGUAGAUCUACAAGAUAUAAAUGUUCUUAAGUUGAGAAAAACUAUUUUAUAGUUUUUUAAUCUCAAAAUAGCUCAAAAAGAAAAUUGAAGAAAAGGACAUUUUUGAUACUGUUUGGCAUGCCCUCGCCGCAUGUCGGCAUGGUACGGCAUGGGCGGAACAGGGUGACACGGGCAAUCCUUGCUUUAGACAAAUGGGUAUAGAGAAAAUGUUUGCUCCAUUUUAUCUGUAAUCAUAUCAAACAGGAAGCAGAGUAUGAGAGACUAAUGCUUUCUUACACUGUGCUGUGAUAUAUGGAGAACAUGUUGGAGUCUGUAAUCAUACCUAAACAUUUCAACCUUAUCAUUGUAUGAACAUUCACAAGCUAACUAAAUCAUUUGGUUUUUUAUCUCUUCAAGUGUGGGGAAAAAAAAAAAAUCAAAACAUCCUAAAUAUUCAUCUUGAACUCUCUACUGCCUGGGUAAAACUCUUUUGGCGUCAAACAAAGUAUCUAAGCCCUUUUUUUGAUUUAUGUAAACUUUUCUUUAUCUAUUAGACUGUAAGCUCUUUUGUUUUUCUCCUUUUGUGAUUAGAUGCUUUGCCUCAGUGCAGAUAGACAUAGCUUUUCUUGUCAUUGUCGGUUAUCUCGCAAUUCGCCUGACCGGGCAUAGAAGGGCAUCUUCUUCAAAAACAAAAAGAAACAAAAUAUAUAUAUAUAUAUAUAUAUAUAUAUAUAGAGUAGGGCUACUGUGCUAUUAGGAGCACAGCAACCCUUGUGCUCCUAAGUUCUUAAGCUCCGCCCAUCAAAUUUGCAUGGGUGUUUAGAUGAAAGGGAAAAGUAAUUGGAGAGAAUUGAAUUUCUCAAUUUCUCUCUUUGAAUUCUCUUCAAUAUCUCUUCUUUUAUUCACCCUAACCACCCAUACAAUUUGAUGGGCGGUUAUAACAGUCUUAGGACAACAAGGCUUGCUUGUGGGCUCCUAAUAGCACAAUACCCUACUCUAUAUAAUAUAUAUAAUAUAUAUAUAUAUAAAACUAGAUAUGUUACUACUAUAACUUAGUAGAUGUAUAGAGUGCACAGAAUUCGUCAUCCACGAGCACAUUCCAUUGUAUAGAAAUUGUAUUUGAAGAAAACAGAAAGAAAAGGACAUCGAUACAUCGAUACAACACCUGGUCAAAGUUUUUUUUUUUUUCUUUUGUUUUCCCAUUUGUUUUUGGCCAAACUUCCAUGUUAGAUAUACCAUCUUCUACUGGUAAGUUUCAAUAUUUCUUUCUGAAUUACUGAAUUUUUUUUUUUAGCAGUUAUGUUUCGCUGUCGUCGACCCACCAACCACCAGGUCAUUUUUUGACGCACCUCGGCCACUCGAUCCGAAGCAUCUACAAGGGGUUAGUUGCCUUUAACAUUAAAGAUGCUACUAGUGAACUAGCUGUACCAGGCAAAGUCAUAUGCUCCAGAAUAAAACAUUGGUUGUAGCUGCCCAGCGCCAUUGAUGAUGUACUUGAAUGUAACCACUCAUCAGCUGUUUUCUAUUUAAUCUUUGCAGGGGAGUACUUUGAAUGAAACCACUCGCGCUGCUUGUUGUAUUUGUAAUCUUUGGUGAUAACUGUAGCCUUGGAUGCUUCACUUUAACUUGAUAUAAACUACGAUGAAUACCUUUUUUUGGGUCCAAAGUACAAAUGAGAUGGAUGUUUGUUGUCCCAACCAUUCUUGUUAGUCCCGUUGAUGUUGCGUGUUUGUUGUGGCAUGAAGUUAUGUAUGGAGCAACAAUAAGAUUGUGUGUUAGGUUGUAUUUUCAGGUUCCAUCACAGAAUGUUUCUUUCUUUUUUUUUUUCUUUUUUUUUUUCUCUAAGGGCUGUUGGGCUUCUAGGAAAAGAAUGGAAAGUUUUCAGGAAAAAUCUCCUUUUAGUUUUCCGCCUAUUUGGUUUAAAAAAAAAAAAAAGCUUUUUUUUAUUUUUUUUUUCAAUUUAUAUGGAAAACUAAUAUUUUCUGUUUUACGAAAAAACUGAAGAACAAAAACAAUAGUUUUCCAAAUAAUUUGAAAAAAAAAUAAAAAAAUCUAUUUUUUUUAAUCAAAUAAGUAGAAAAAUUAAAAAUAAAGAUUUUCAUAUAUCAAAUUUUUCUAGAAAAUUUGUUUCUAGGCUUUUCCUACGAAUCAAACAGCUCCAAAUGUCCACUGAGCUACGUGCUGCGCACCCAACGGAAUCAAAUCUACAACCUUUCCUUUUCAGGAAUGAUGCCUUAUUAAUUGGACUACUGGUGUUUUUAUGUGUUGUUCGGAUGGCGGUUGUUAACGUAAUUUUAUUUUAUAACAAAAAAAAAAAUUAUAAUCGUUUUAAAAUUUUUAGAUAUCUUUAGUCAUCACAUUACCAAACUAGAUCUUAAUAGGACAAAGAAUGUGGUAUCAUGAGCUAGACCAACAUGUCUAUAGUACUAAAGCCCAAAAAUAGUGUUAUGUUUUGGGUUGUAAUUGCAACCCCUCUCUCUCUCUCUCUCUCUCUCUCUCUCUCUUUUGAGUGCAUGUUAGGUAGUACCUAACCAAGCAGCUUCAUUGUGUUAUGUUUUGGGUUGUAAUUGCAACCCCUCUCUCUCUCUCUCUCUCUCUCUCUCUCUCUCUCUCUUUUGAAUGCAUGUUAGGUAGUACCUAACCAAGCAGCUUCAUUGAAAAAAGAGUGAAUAACUCGCAUAAAAUUUAAAGAGGGGAAGAGUACAUGGUUACAUGAAAGGUUUAUAUAUAUUCAAGUUACAUAUUAGGAUAUAUAAGCGUGGAGCAUAGUUUAAGAGACAAUGCAUCAUAGGAAACUUCGUUUAGCUGUGAAUUUUGUAACAUGUUGUACUAAUAUUUUACUCCUCCCUUGCUUGUAGAGACGAUACUUUAAUUUUGUUGUUGCGAUAUUUUACUUGAAAAUUGAAUUUUUAUUGUCGGGGCUUACAUGAAAGCAUUUAUAUAUUCUAACACCCACAACAUUAAUAUAAAUGUUUAGUUGGAAUUGUAAUAAAUUGUUUUCCUCUAACUUGGUCCAGUUUGGCACUUUGAAUGUGGGCACCUGUAUAUUCAAGAAAAAUUCCACUAAUGAAAAGCUCAAGAUUGUUAAUCACGUGAUGCACGAACGGCCAGAUAGCGUUUUGAAAUUCUCUUUUAAAAAAAAUUGGAAUUUGAAUUUGAAAUGUAAAUCUUUCCCCCCUGCGGGGAACAAUAGAGAGAUUGUAUUACGAAAUUAUAUAGAAAGGAAAGCUAGAAUAGCUUUAGAAAUAAAUACAAUUGUUUACUUUUAUGUUACUUUUGAUGAUGGACAUCUGAAUCGACAGUCGGCACCAUUAAAUUUGAUUUGGGCUGUUUAAACUCUCUAGAUAAUCGAAUUUUACAAUUGUUAAUUUGAUAUUAUUUAUCUUGUAAUUGAGUCUAUUGAUAAUUUUAAUAGCUAAUAUAAGGUGAAUUUGCUAUCAUAUGGUUAUCUGGUAAAUGAUCAUAUGAUCACGUGGUAAAUGAUCUCGUGAAAAUUGUACUUAACAAUAUCAAUUGGCGAUUCAGAAGCCAUAUUACUAAAAACAACACAAAAGUAAGCAAUCUUAUUUAUUUAAAAGUAUUUUAGUAUUACAUGUAGUAAGCAAAUAGUAAACCAGUGUAGCAAGGUACCGAGUGUUAAAAGUUCACAUGUAAAUCGUCUUACAUUAGAUAUUUAAUAAGAAAGUAAAAAGUUGACAUAUAUACUAGUGGCCUCUAACUUAAUAGGUUUAGGUUUUAUAUUUGAUUGUGUUUCUUUAGAUAUAUCACACAUUUGGGGUUCAUCUCGAUUUGAACUAGGUCCGGAACUUUCUAACAAAUGAUAUCGGAGCUAAGGACUAGAUAAUUUUGAAAUACUCAUCUAAGUGGUGUGAUAUGAUUGAAUUAGUGCUCCUACGAACAUACAGGUACGUUGAAAAUAGUCAUCAUAAUGGUUUGAUGCACUAAAAAGAAUUGAACCCGAGUGGUGUGAUACGAUUGAUCAAUUAGUGCUCCUACGAACAUAACAGGUUCGUUGAGAGAAGUCAUCGUAAUGAUUUGAUGCACUCAAAGAAUUGGGCCCGAGAGGCGCACGUUAAGCGCACGAGCUUAGAUGGUUUAGAGCAUUCAGAAUAGUCGGUCACUUGGAUGAGUUCCUGAGUGGCUUUGCCCGAAAGGCACACAUAGUGAGCGCAUGAGCUCACAUGAUUUAGAGCAAUCAAAACAGUCAGGCCCGAGAAGCAUAAGUUUAGUGUAUACGCUUGGACGAGUUCCUAAAUGGUAUAGAUUACUGAGUAAAUUUGCGGUGACUUAUAAAAAGAACUUAGAAAGAAUGUCUCAAAAAAAAGAGCCAAAAAGAUGACUCAGUGAAAUAUUUCGAGAGUAUAAUAGAUUGAGUUUUUUGAGAGAUAGGUAGUAUGCUAUACCCGCUUCGUUUAUUUCAUUUAGAAAUAAAUUUAGCUAGAAAUGGAAAUCAGUUAGGAUUCGAACUUUGGACCUCGGAUAUCAACCAUCAAAUACUUUGCCACUUGCGCUAGUAACGGUCGGUAGUAUAAUAGAUUGAGUUGAUGCGGGUGUCGGUUGGUUUACAUACAAGGUAGUUUACAUGUGUAGAGGGGAGAAGUUUAAGAGUUUACACAUGAAUUGCCCCGGAUCGGAUAAUUAACAAAAGAGCAAAUGGUUGAUACAUAUUAGUGUUUGCAAAUCUAAUAGGGUUUUAGGUUGAAUAUAUUUUAUUAGAUAUAUCACAUUGUUGUACUGAUGUCGACAUGGGCUGAAGCCAUAACUCUUUGCGGGAAUGUUAUUUUUAAGUUAAAAAAAGAUAAAUUAAAAAAAUAUAUAUAUUUUAGAAAAAUAGAAAAAUAGAAAAUCCUUGUUGUGCAGCACAAUAUAUAUAUAUAUAUUUUUAGAAAGAAACUUACAUUGGAGUACAUGUUACUAUAAAUUACUUAUAUUUAUUUUCGUAACAUGUAUUAUUUUAUUUGAGCCUUUUGAUGUAUUUUGAUUAUACUUAAUUGAUUUCACAGAUUUUUUUUUCCUUCAAAAAAAAUUACACUAUAUUUAAAAAAUUAAAUUUUCAUAUUUCUCUUAAAUAAUUAAUAAAAGUUAUCUUGUAGUAACAUGUAGAGUUCGGCUAUUCUGCUAUCGAUAGCACCAAGCGCUUGAUGCUAUCAAGUUUUUCGCUGUUAGAUUUACUUCAGACCACUUUCACCUGUUAGAUCAUACUAUUCAACCAAUCACUUACUUAAUCCUAAAGAACUACUAUUAUCCUUACCGCGCAUUUCUUCAUCCAAUUAAGAACCGAAAAUCUAAUGGCACCAAUGAUUUGAUACUGUUAAUAGUAUAAUAGCCUAGUUUGUAACUUGUGCUUCAAUAUAAAUUUUUUGAAAAAAAAAUGGCGGGUUCUGCUCCAAAGCAAGAAAGAUAAUAUUCGAUUUUUUAAAAAAUUAUUUUCUUCUACUUUUAUAUUUUUUUUACUUUUUAUUAUAAAAAUAUAAUAAAAAAGAAUUAUUUAAGAUAUUCAUGCAGGCGCCCACAUGGCGCCUAGUGGUGAUUACUGGAGAAAAUUUUAAAACACACCGGUUAUAACGGUGACAUGACAUUCCCAACUAAUUAAAUAGAUCCUUUUGGUUUAAUCUGUCGUAUCAUAAUUAUAAAAAAAUAUUUUUUAAUUUUUUUUAAAAAUAUAAUUAAUUUAUUAUUAUUGAUACGGUACAAGUGUGAUAUAAUAAAUUUCUGGGCUCUAACAAAGUUUUGUACUUAGAGAUCGAAGCAUGCAUGGUAUAUAGUAUUACAAUUUUGCAAACCAACACCCUACUGUUUUGGUCCGUUGAUUUUAGGGUUCUAGAAGAACACGUGUGGUCUUUGUGGCAAACCUAACACUCCCCGCACCACCCCCACGGCCCCACCCCUGUUUUUUUUAAGAAAAACCUACCCAUAUUUGAUUUUUCUUUUUGAGCUAAACAUAAUUUGGGUUUUGAAUCUCUUAUAUGCAUGAGUGUAAGACCAUGGACUUUUGUUAAAACAAAAAAAGUUAGAUAAAAUGUUUAAUUUGAAGAUGUAGCUUUCAAUUUACUAUCAAAUUUAUUGUUGUGAUAAAUAUUGGAAUAUACUUUUGUAUUUUCACCAGAGUCAUUAUAUAAUUUUUUUUUUGGAAGUAGCGUGUAUUGAAAAGAUAAAAUUUAUUUUUCUAGAAAAAAAAUUCAUAAAAAGUAUAUUUUUCAUAGUUUUUGUUUUUUAGAUAAUAGAUUAAGAAAACAAAAAGAAGACACUUUCAUAAGAUUAAAAAAAAUUAAAAAUAUAUAUAUUUUUUGAGAACCACACAGAGUAAAAAUAUUUUUGUAGUUAAAAAUUAUUUUUUGAGAUUUUUUGGAGAACCAAACACUUUUCUUUUUAAGAGAUAGGUAGCACGCUAUUUGCUUCACUUAUUUGAUUUAGAAAUAAAUUUAACAAGAAAUGUGAAUCAACUAGAAUUCGAACUUGGGUCUCGGAUAUCAACGACCAAGCCUUUUGCCAUUUGCUCUAGGGACAGUCAGUAUCCAAACACCUUUUUAAGCUCAAAAAAGUGUAGAAAAUUCCUCAACUGAGCUAGUAGCUGGGUGCAACUUUUAUUUUUUGAAAUGUAGAAAAAAAAACCUCCAUCCAAAAUUAAAUUUUUUUAAAACAAAAUGGAAAUAUUUAUUUUAAAAAGAAAGUCACCUCGAAUAGGAGGGGUUAAUGAUCACUAGUCAAAUCCAAGCGUUAGUGGAUAGCAGUAGAUUUUUUUUUUUUUUUUCAAUUUGAGAGAAAGAUUGUACGUUAUUUAUUUUGUUUUGUUUUUAAAAAUAAAUUUAAGUAUUAAAAUAAAGUAAUUAAAUUUUGAAUUUAAAUUUUUGGAUAUUAACAGUUAAAUUUUUUGUCACGUGUGCUAAGCAAAGAUAUAUUUAUUGAGACGACAUCUCAACCGUUUAUUUUCGGACCCUCUAAAUCAACCAAUUUUUAUCCGUACUUUGAUGCCUUAGUCAUUUUUUCUAUACAUGGACCAGAACCAAGCAUAUGAUGCACCAGAAGUGGCCUAAAUAUUAUUUAUUCCCCCACCCCCCAAAAAACCAAAAAAAAGAAACUAAAUUACUUUUUUUUAUUGUAUCUUGUUAUAAUUUUGAACUCAAAUUUUUUAUAUUACCAUCAUUAAGUCCUACAGUGUAAUUUAUUAGCUGAAUAAUAAUAUGUCACUAAUAUGAUAGUCUUGUGGUAUUCUAAUUAUUCACGACUCACCAACCAUAAUAUUGCUAUAUUACUGUCAAAUAUAGAAAUAAUAUAAUAUUAUCUAGUCAAAUAUAUUAUAUUGUCGGACUUAGUUAUGAAAUUUAACAAAUUUAAGUAAAAUACUACCGACCAAUUAAUAUUUAAGAACUAAUGUGUCGAGCGAGCUAGAUAAGUCUCACAGUUUGAGUACAUUUAGCUAAAAAUAAAAAAAAUGAUAAAAUUAUUAUGAAAUAUAUUUAUAUUUAUUUAGUAUUUAACUAGGGGAGAUUUUAUUUAUUUUUAUACAUUUAGCACGGUUAAAUUUUUUAUAUAUAAUAAGUUUUAUAGAAAUUUAAAAUGCAAAAUAAUUUAAUGUUGUUCAGGUGGGUGUCAUGACAAUAGAAGGUUAAAUAAAUAUGUUAUGUAAAUACGGUAAAUCUUUUUUUUUUAUUCAUCUAAUAAUAUUUGAACGUGAUAAGUUAAUUAUUGUGUUCAGCUAAAGCAUUUUGUUUUGACAAAAAAUUAGAAAAAUAUGGUUAUAUUAUAUAUCCAGUUUCAUUUUCUAUGGUUCAGCAUGACGUCUAUUUAAAUAGAACAAAAUUAUUUCUGCGCGUCAAAUUUAUUUAAAUUUUAAUUGUAAAAUAAAAUAUUUUAUCAAUGCUAAGGCGGUGUUUGAUUCGUCGGAAAAAUAUGAAAAAAAUAUCUCCGAAAAAAAAAAUCCAUGAAAAUCUCUUUUUUAAUUUUCUUAUUGUUUGGUUUUAAGAAAAGCUAGCAUUUUUUAAAUUUUAUUUUUCAAAUUUCAUGGAAAAUUGAUAUUUUUUCCACUUUGAAAUUUUUUUAGCAAAACAAAAAUAUUGGUAUUUAAUAAAAUUUGGAUUUUUUUUUAAAAAAAAGCUAGUUUUUUUAUAAUUAAACCGACAGAAAAUUAAAAAAGAGUUUUUUUUAUGAAAUAUUUUUUAUACUUUUUUAAGAAAUCAAAUAGCUCCGAAAAGUAAAAUAUAAAACAAAAAAUAUUCUCUUAUUGAGGAGUUUCGAAAAAAAAAAAAAAAAAAAAAAAAAAAAAUUCUUUAAACAAAAUAAAAAAAAAAUUAAAAAAAAAACUUCAAAUACCACCUUUGUUGUUUUGCGGUUUCUUAAUUUAAUAUUAUGUGAUUUUAAAUGUAUCACUUUCAUAUCCUGUGGUUAGGGGUGUCAACGAGCCGAACACGAGCCAGCUAGGGCUAGUUUGUGUUCAGCUCAUUUAACAAACGAGCCGAAAACGAACUGGUUUGUUAAAGUAUCGAUUCGAAAAAUUCAGCUCAUGCUUGGAUCGUUAAUAAACGAGUCGAACAUAACUUGGCUCACGAGCUAGCCAGCGAAUAAUAAGUUAACUUGAUUAGAUUGAAUAUAUAUAACAAAUAAAUUUAUAAAAUCUUACCCAUUAGAAUUUGGUCUAAUGGUUUGAAAUUUUACAUAUAAAUAAGUUUUUUAAUAAUUGAGCCCGACUUUUUUUUUGGCUAAAAAUCAAAUAAUAAGUAUAUAUAUAUUAUAUAUAUUAUAUAUAAUUAUUUAUUUAUAAAUAAAUAUAUGUAAAUAUAUAUAAAUAUGAAAUAUAUGUACUCAAGUUCUUAUCAAGCUGAACACGAACAACCUGACCCUAUCUCAUAUUCGGCUCGUUUAUUAAAUGAGCUGAAAAAUUCAGCUCGUUUUUAUUUUAUUUACUAAACGAAUAAUUCGAUCUCAAACUCAUUUCUAGUCAAACACUAGCUGGUUUACAGACAAUGAGUUGGAUUGUCACCCUACCUGUAGUUUUAUUUUUCUCUUUUUAUUAUCUCCUUUAUUAAUUUUUUUUUGUUAAAUUAUUGAUAAAAUUAAAACUAUAAAAUAAUAAAGUAAAAAUUCGAUAAAUUAUAGGGUAUUCAAUAAAUUAUGUGUAAAAUAUCUAAUUUAUUAUAUAUAUAAUUUAACAAAAAAUUAAUAUAGAUACUGACGGAAAAAAAAAAAAAAAAUAACAAAAAAUUAUUUUAUAUAUAUAUAAUAUAUAUAUAGUACCAAAGUGAUACAAUUUAAUCCUAAUGUACUAAAUCAGAAGUAAUUUUAAACUUAUCAAAAAAAAAAAAACGACAUCGGACACCAAAAAUGACUGACGAUGGUGGGUAAAAUACGGACGCAAUGGUGACACGUGUCCACCUACUCAUACCAACCGUCCGUCCAUCCCGCACAAUAUUAAACUACCCCUUCUCUCCUCUUUUAUUUUAAUUUUUUAUUUCUCGCUUGUCAUGUACUAUGCUACAGAGUUUUCUCGUGAGCACCACAACAAGGUCCUCAAUCUAUAUAUUUUAAGCGCACAGCAACAAAAUUGUGAAGCACCACCGCUGCUCGCAGCGAACAAAUGGAAUCGAGAAGGUUCCGGCAGGCGAUCGGCGUCGGCGUCACGGCGGCGCCGGACGCGAUACCGUCGAGUUCGUGCGGUCGGAGCACGACCGCCCGGCACGACACGUUCCGCGGCCGUCCCGGGAGAUACCGUGGUGACCUCUCGGAGCCCGAGCGCGCGCGGCGUGGUGGCGGCGAGCCAGGAGUGGGGAUCUUCCAGGUGGUGAAUCACGGGAUCCCCGCGCGCGAUCGAGACCAUGGCAGCGGUCGGGAGGAGUUUCUUCGAGCUGCCGCAGAGCCAGAAAGGAGCGGUACGGGAUGGAUCCGAAUUCGGGCCGUUCGAGGGUACGGAACAAGCUUCAGAAGGGAUCUGGAGGGGAGGAGGAAUUGGGUCGACUUCUUCUUCCACAUCUGUGUGCGCCGUCGUCGGUCACUAAGCAUCUGGCCGACCAAUCCCCGCCGAGUAUAGGUAGCGUACGUACGUCUUUACCCAACAAAAAAAAAAAAAAAAAAAAAAAAAAAACACUUCAAAUACUCCCACCGUGGUUUAAACUUUAAACUGUAUCAAAAUUGGUACCAUGUGGUUUCAGCACUUUCUCACUUUAGUAUCCUGUGUUUAAACUGUAUCAAUUUAGUAUUCUGUGGUUUCGCACUUUCUCACUUUAGUAUCCUGUGGUUUCAAGUGUACAAGCUUAGUAUCAUAUAGUUUCAUUUAUAUCAAGUUAGUACUAUAUGGUUUUUUUUUUAUUAUAUAUCAUAUUCGGGGCCUAUAAUUUAACGAAAUAUUGAACUAUAGGAUACUAAAGGUGAAAAUACGAAAUCACAUGAAAGAUAUUUGAAGUUUUCCAAAAAAUAUAUAUAUUAUAUUAUUAUGAAAGAGAAAUAGCAAUUUGAGCAGAUGAAGCUGAUAACAAUCGNNNNNNNNNNNNNNNNNNNNNNNNNNNNNNNNNNNNNNNNNNNNNNNNNNNNNNNNNNNNNNNNNNNNNNNNNNNNACCCAAAAAAAAAAAAAAAAAAAAAAAAAAAAAAAAACACUUCAAAUACUCCCACCGUGGUUUAAACUUUAAACUGUAUCAAAAUUGGUACCAUGUGGUUUCACACUUUCUCACUUUAGUAUCCUGUGUUUAAACUGUAUCAAGUUAGUAUUCUGUGGUUUCGCACUUUCUCACUUUAGUAUCCUGUGGUUUCAAGUGUAUCAAGUUAGUAUCAUAUAGUUUCAUUUUUAUAUCAAGUUAGUACUAUAUGGUUUUUUUUUUUUUAUUAUUAUUCAUUUCGGGGCCUAUAAUUUAACGAAAUAUUGAACUAUAGGAUACUAAAGUGAAAAAGUACGAAAUCACAUGAAAGAUAUUUGAAGUUUCUCCAAAAAAUAAUAAUUAUUAUUAUUAUUAUGAGAUGAAAUAGCAAUUUGAGCAGAUGAACUGAUUAACAAUCGGUAAUUAAAACUUUUAUAUUGAAAUGGAUCUUUAAGAUUCGAGUGCAUAGUAUGAAUUAUAUGACUGAUCAAACUGUCUCGGUGAGAUUUCGUUGAUACGCUUCUCCAUAGAAGAGAUAUACUCGCAAGAUAUUGAUGCAUCCCUAAAAUGAAAAUUGUCUCAAAUGGUUACCCAAGCUUCCGAUGCAUAAAUAUUGCUAAUGCUUUUAUUAUUCUACUAUAAUUAUUAGAAGUGAAAAGUUCCCUCAUUUGCAAUAGAACUAGUAAAAUACCCGCGCGAUGCUGCGGAUAUAAAAAUAUUUUUAUAAUAAAUUUUAGUUUUUUUAAUAUUUUUAUAUAGUUUUAUAAAUCUAAUUAUUAAUUAAAUAAAAGUUAUAUAAAAAUAAUUUAAUAGUUUAAUCUAUUUAAAUAAAAGUCAUUAAAAUUGGUAUAUGCGCAAAGUAAAUUUAUACAAUAGUUUAUUUUAUAAAAAAUUAUAUGAAAAGGAUUUGAGAUAAAUCUAUCAAAAUAAUUUUUAAAAAAUCAAUAAAUAGAAGGAAAAUAAAAUUGUAGAAGAUAUUGUUUAAUAAAACUAAUUAUAUAUACACACAUACACUAUAUUUUUAAAACUUUACUCCUGAAACUUAAAUUCCGUAUUUUUUUUAUACAAUGAAAUUUUGUGUGAUUUAAAUUUCAUCUAGCAAAUUAGAUUUUAUUAUGUGAUUUAUUAUGUGUAUUAUUAAUAAAAUUACUUAAUUAUAUUAUAUAAAACUAAUUAUUAAUAAAUUUAAUUAAUUAAUUAAUUUCAUAGAGUUUAGAGAUUUAAAAUUUUAAACUUUGAAGCUUAAAAUUUAGAAAUAAAUUUAUAGCUAGAAAAUAAAAUUUAAAAUUUAAAUAUAAAAUAUAAAAUAGAAAUUUAAAACUUUAAAAUUUGAAAUUAAAAAGCUUAAAAUUUAGAAAUAAAUAUUAUAAGUAAAAAUUUAAAAUUUAAAUAAAUAAAAUAUAAAAUUAAAAUUUAAAACUUUAAAAUUUGAAAGUAUCAAAAUUAUAUUUUGAUAUAAAAAAUUUAAAACUUUAUAUAUAUAUAUAUAAUAUCUAUUAUAUAGUAUUUAUAUAUUAUGAUGUAUAUUAAUGUUACUAUAGAGGGAGAGAGAAGGGGGGUUUGGGGGGACACGUGUCACCCUGUGGUCCCCCCAAACCCUCCUUUAAUGUAGUUAGAUAGAUAGAUGUUAGGCCUUACAAUAAAGUAUGUUAGUGGGACCUGCUAUUUAAUGGUUAGCUGCACUAUCACUCCGUUAUCCAUUUUUUCACGUUGGCCCCAAAUCUUUUAAUAUUUGCACUCAGGUUCUUGACAUUUAUUAUUUGUUUUAAUUAAGUCUGUGUCAUUAAAAACUUUAUUAACUAUGGAAAUUUCCAUUCAAUUUAAGGACGUUUUGUUCAAACAGAAAGGAAGGAUAUAUUAUAUUUUUAUUGAGCCUAAAGCUCGAGCUCCAACUCGAAAUUAAAACACACAUGGAUUAAUGUUUCAUUCGUUUAUUUUAAAAAAAAAUAAAUUUAGUUGAAAAUAUGAAUUAAUUAGAAUUCGAACUUAGGACCUCGUCGGAUACUAAUCAUCAAAUUCUUUGCCACUUGCGCUAGAACCAUCGCUAUCUAUCCUUUUCUUGUUCUUUUUCUUUUUCUUUUUCUUUUUUUUUUUGUUGGUUCUAUGAGCGAGUGAUGCGUCGGACCUGCUCACUCUAAACCGGCCAGCCUAAAGUACGAUCGGGCUAGAUUGUAGCAAUUGGACUCAAUCGAGGCCCAAUAAACUAGCCCAACUUAGUAUCUGAUCGGCCCACUACGAAAUUGUGGAAGUAUCCAAAACUUUUUCCCUCCAGCGGUAGACCAUAUCAUCAGUUGCUUGAGGCGCAAUUGAGAUGUUACAGGACUCAAAAUGCAUUUUUAUUUUACGAGUGGAUGAGAAUAGAAUCUGUAUUAAAAUGAUUAGCUCCUUAAUUGGACAGUAUGCUGUGCUCAAAAUUCUAUUAUUAACAAAUGGAAAUUAACAUUUUCAAAUUCACUAGUCUAAAGUUUCAAUUUGCAUUUGAUUCCAUUGAUGUUUUGUAUCCUCCUGAAUUUUACAUAAGGAAAGUAUUUUGUUCUGAUGAUGGUUAUUCACACCAAACAUCAUAAAUUGUUCAUCUUGAAUUGAACAAAACCUGCAGGAAGGCUAAUGAGGAAUACACCAAAUACUUGGUUAAGCUCAUGGACAAAAUAUUUGAGUACUUAUCAGUAGGGCUAGGUCUCGAGAAGCAUGUGUUGAAAGAGGCGUGUGGCGGCGAAGAGCUGAGGCUACUAGCGAAGAUCAACUAUUACCCGCCGUGCCCCCGUCCCGACCUAGCCCUCGGGGUGGCUCCGCACACCGACAUGUCGACGCUUACGCUGCUCGUACCCAACGACGUCCCUGGGCUGCAGGUCUUUAAGGACGAUCACUGGUUCGACGCCAAGUACGUCCCCGACGCCAUCAUCGUCCACAUCGGUGAUCAACUUGAGGUGAUAUCCUUUUCUUGGUCAUGCCUGUUCGGCACUACUUUUACUUUGUUCUUCUUUUUUUUUUUUCUACUUUUUCGUCCAACCAUAUAUAAAAGAAAAUUGUAAAAUUUAGAUCUUAAGUAAUGGAAAGUACAAGAGCGUGUUGCAUCGGACGACCGUGAACAAGGAAAAAGUGCGGAUAUCGUGGCCGGUAUUCUGCGAGCCCCCGGGAGAGCUCGCGAUCGGGCCGCUGCCUCAGCUCGUCGACAACGAGAAUCCGGGGAAAUACAAGACCAAGAAGUUCAAGGACUAUCAGUAUUGCAAGAUUAAUAAGCUCCCUCAGUAGAAAUAUUUGUAGUUUUAUAUACAUUAAAUGAUGCUAUCCAUGAACGUUUAGUUCAUUGAUGAAUGUUUAGCUAUACGUUGCACGUACGUGUUAAACAUCAACGGCUAGUUACUAUUUUAUACACAUAAAUGUUUACCGCCAAUAUUGUUGCACCACUUAUCAGUUUGAUAAUAGGUGAGGUAAGAGAUGGGAAUACGAAAGAAAAAGAGUUUAUAAUUAAUGUAUCUGAUAUUAAGUUAUUCACCAAAUUGAUCUAGUAUUAAAAAAUAAGGUCGAAAUAUAUAUUUAACCAAUAAGUCUAUUAAAAGCUGUUUCGUUUUUUAAUAAAUGAUGCUAUGUGCUAUAAGGACCGAUAAGAUAUUAUUAGUUUCAUGUUAAAUAAAUAUUAAAAUAAUCUCAGCAUGUAUAUAACUGGAGCUUUUUUGAGCUCCAAAUGUAAGCUCAUGUGGUUUGGCUUCUGAACAGUAAUAUGGUUCUAGUGAUCGCGAGAAAAUUUUCUCCCUUAUUCUAUAUUAAAAAAUUGCAAAUAAGUGCAGUAAUAAUUAACUUUUUACAAAAUAUUAUUGCAAUGUAACUCUUGAUUAAAACUUUCAUUAUAUUACAUUAUCAAUAAAAAUAUGGUGCAAUUGUUCCAAAUUGCUUUAAAAGAUGAGACCACAAUAAGCAGCAGCUUUUUAGUGAGUGGGAGAGUGCACUCCAAAACCUCUCCACAGAGUCAAGCUUUAAUCAAUCCAAUUAUAUUCUCUUUUGCAUCAUAAAUCUUGCAGUGAGUGCAACCCCACAAAAGGGAAUGAUUCAGUGAUUGGGAAGGGAUUUUGCAAAAAGCUGGUUUUAAAUAGUCCGAGGCCCCUGCAUAAUUGCAUAAAGCAUCUGGUAAUCUGGGAGGAGGAGAAAGUGCUUUUUGGGGAAGCAGAGAGAAAAAAAAAAAAAAAAAAAAAAAAGUGGGCGGAGGAAGAAUCCAACAAGGAAUUUUUUUUAUAAAUAAUUCUAUUAUAAUUAUAAAAAUAAUUUUUUUAAAAAAAUUAUUAUAAAAAUAGAUCUCUAAGUCCGGUGAAUAAUUCACCGCAUUCAUAACUCCUCAUUAGGAAUACAAAAAGAAUAAAAACUGUGAACCAUUCACCGUUUUUAUCAUCGUAAAAAUAUAGAAAAAAGUAAGAAAAAGAAAGAGAGUGGUGAAUGGUUCAUCGCUUUUAAAGCGGUGAAUGAUUCACCGCUUUUAUAAGAUCAUUUUAUAAAUAAAAAUUUAACUGGUCUAUUUUUAGAAUAAAAUUUUAGUAAAAGACUAUUGCACUAAAAAACCCUCCAACAAGUCCUAUAAAGAGAAUAAUUGUACAGUUGAUGGGAUUAUCAUGCAUCAUCAACUAAAAUGUUUGGUUUGAAAAGAUUUUAUGUACAAAGGCGAAAACUAAAUAGUGGGUGCACAUUUUUACAUUACUGUAAUUUUCUUACUGGUCGAGAGUAAACUUAUGUGAUAUUUUUCAAAAAUUAUAAGUAAAAAUAUUUUCUAUUUUAUAUUCGAAACUUACAACUUUGUAUUAAUUUCCAGCUGUUCGUUUUUUUAAAAAAAUAAAUAAAAUGAACAACAUGUUAUUGCUAUUUUUUUUCUUUCUAAAAAAAUAAUAUUAUAGACAACUCUCAAAGAUAUUCUUUUUAAUUUUGGUAAUUAAAAGCGUUAGGUCUUUAUAGUGUUUUGCUAAAAAGUACUGUAACUAACAAUAGCUAGAAAUAAAAAGCCAGUCAAAAAAUAAAUAAUAAAUUAUCCAUCAAAGUACAGUUGAUGGUUAAGUCAAUUAAAGUGAGCUUAUCUGGAACCUUCAUUUGGAGGAGGCUAAUUAAGAAAGAUAUCUAGGGAGAGAAUAAUAGGCAACAUGGUAUAUACACAGUACCCUCUACCUAAAAAUUAAGCACUCGUGUAUUUCCCUUUUCUUUUCUUUUCAGUUAUUAUUUAUAUUAUUACCAUAAUCUAAGAUGUGUUUGUUUAAUCAAAAAUAAAAUAAUAAUAAUUUUCGACUAUAAAACAUAUUUUUAUUGUUUGGUUUACUAUAACUUCACUGUCAAUCGAAACUCACACUAUUCAAAAUUACAUUAAUUUCGGCCCACUAUAAGCGAAAAUCAAUUACAAAAAUGAAUAAAAUUAUUGGCCCGUCUCUCACAUAUUCAGCUUUUUAUGUUAUUUAUAUUCUGCCAAAUAAAUAAUAAAACUGAAAAAACUUUAAUUUCACAACUAUACAAAUAAAUAAUAAAAAAAUUAAUUUUAAUCUAAAUGUUAUUUUAUUUAAAAAUUUAUUUUAGAAGAUCUUCGUUUUUUUUAAAAAAAAAAUAAACUUAGCUGAAAUAUCAAUCAAUUAGGAUUCGAACUUUACAUUUCUGUCUAAUUUUAAAUGCCAAAUUUGUCAUUUUCGGGGAGAGGGAGAGACACAGGGAACUGAGCGUGGGGCAUGGACUAGUCCUCUGCAUGAGGAAGGGAAUCUCUCAGAGCUAUCACGCUCUUUUUCCCCCCAAGAGGAACAUCUUCAGAUCCAGCAUCAUAGAAGAAGAUUAUACACUCUACGGAGAGAUUACGCUAUAUGUGAUAAGAUCAUAUGAGAUAAGACUGUCAACGAGCUGGACACGAGCGAGUUAGAGCUGGCUCGUGUUCGCUCGUUUAUAAAACCAGCCAAACACAAGCUAGUUCACUAAAAUAUCAAAUUAAAAAUUUAUUUAGCUCGUGUUCGAUUUAUUUAUAAUUAACAAGCCAUAUACGAGCUGUCUCAUGAAAAGUAAGUUAGAAUGUCAACCUUAUCUAGUAAAAGUUGAAAGAAAAUUUAAAAAUUAAAAUCUUAAUCUAACCAUUGAAAUUUACAAAAUGUAAGUCAUUUUAUAUUUAGAUUGAUCUAAAAUGCAAAUAUAUNNNNNNNNNNNNNNNNNNNNNNNNNNNNNNNNNNNNNNNNNNNNNNNNNNNNNNNNNNNNNNNNNNNNNNNNNNNNNNNNNNNNNNNNNNNNNNNNNNNNNNNNNNNNNNNNNNNNNNNNNNNNNNNNNNNNNNNNNNNNNNNNNNNNNNNNNNNNNNNNNNNNNNNNNNNNNNNNNNNNNNNNNNNNNNNNNNNNNNNNNNNNNNNNNNNNNNNNNNNNNNNNNNNNNNNNNNNNNNNNNNNNNNNNNNNNNNNNNNNNNNNNNNNNNNNNNNNNNNNNNNNNNNNNNNNNNNNNNNNNNNNNNNNNNNNNNNNNNNNNNNNNNNNNNNNNNNNNNNNNNNNNNNNNNNNNNNNNNNNNNNNNNNNNNNNNNNNNNNNNNNNNNNNNNNNNNNNNNNNNNNNNNNNNNNNNNNNNNNNNNNNNNNNNNNNNNNNNNNNNNNNNNNNNNNNNNNNNNNNNNNNNNNNNNNNNNNNNNNNNNNNNNNNNNNNNNNNNNNNNNNNNNNNNNNNNNNNNNNNNNNNNNNNNNNNNNNNNNNNNNNNNNNNNNNNNNNNNNNNNNNNNNNNNNNNNNNNNNNNNNNNNNNNNNAGAAGAUAUAUAUAAGUAUAAUAUUAUAUAUAUAUAUUAUAAUUAUAUUAUAUAUUAUAUAUUAUAUAUAUAUAUUUCAAUAGAGCUAUUAUGCUAUCGGAAGUAUAAAGUGGUUGGUACUUUCAAUUUUUUUAACUCUUAGAUCAACCCAUUGAUCAUUUCUAAUCAUUGGAUUAAUAUUAUUAACCAAUGGGGACCACUCAACCCUAGGGGGAAACACUCAACCCUAAGGGGACCGCUAUCAUCCUAAACGUAAAAUCUUUAAUCCAAGGACUAAAAAAUCAGAAGCACUAACUAUUUUAUGCUUCUGAUAGCAUAGUAGCGCACACACACACACACACACACACACACAUAUAUAUAUAUAUAGAGAGAGAGAGAGAGAGUGAGGCUACUAUGCUUCUGGAAGUACGAAGCGUUCCAUACUUCCAGGUCGUUUUUCAUGUUACGGCUUUCGAAUCGUCGAUCGGCUCUGUUAAACUUGAUCUAGAGUAUUUAAAGUACUUAGAAAAUAAAUUAUGUGAUUUUUCAAUAUUAUUUGCCUAGUGAACGAAGGGGCUCAAAAUCAACGACUGAAAAUAAAAAUCUUACAAAACGUGAUAAUAUGACAUUAAAAUUUUAAAUCAAAGAUAUUGAUCUUGUUUUAUAUAGUAUAAAGAAUUUUCUAUCAAAAUUUCACGUGAUUUGAAUAUUUCUACACUGUUAAACUUGCAAACGGCUCACUACAGUCAUUAAAGUUAUUAAUUUUGAGCCCCUUCGAUCACUAGGCAAAUCAUAUCGAAAAUUCAUAAAAUUUAUUUUCUAGGUACUUCAAAUACGUAAGAUUCCAAGUUUAUGGAGCACAAUCGAUGAUUUGAAAUACAAUAUUGAAAUGAUGAGAGCACGGAAGGCUUCUUUUGUGCUUCAAAAGAUAGUAGCCUCACUCUAUAUAUAUUAUAUUUAUAUAUUAUAUAUAGUCCGGCUACUUACUUCUUACGAGGUAUAACUUUUGUACUCAUAAGUUUUCGGCCGUUAGAUCUACUUCUUUGACCAUUUUCAUCGUUAGGAUAUACUAUUGCUCAACAACCACCACUCAAGCCCUAGGGGACCACUAUUAACCUAACGGGGAACAUCAUCCUAAUCGCACAUGUUUUUAUCUAACGCGUUGAAACUUAUGGAGUACAAAAGGUUCUAUAAUCUUAGUCUUUACUCAUAAGAGUUAGUAGCCUAACCUAAUAUUAUAUUAUAUAUAUAUAUUAUAUUAUAUAUAUAUAUAUAUAUUAUAUUAUAUAUAUGAUAUAUAUAUAUAUGAUGGGUGUGUGGUGUGUCGUGUGUGUGUGUGUGUGGUGUGUACUUAUUGGAAUAUAGGUAGCUGAAUACGAGCAAGUUGAUUUCAGAUUGUAUUUAGCAUAUUAAAAUUUUGAGCUAAAAAAUUCAAUUCAUUUUCAGCUCAUUUAUUAAAUAGAAGAUUGAUCUCGAAUUCAUUUCCAAAGAUUAAAAUCUAUAGUGAAAAAGUGGUUAUAAUUUCUACACCUCUUCAUCCACGCGUUCUAGAGUUUACUAACUUCAUUUUUGUUAUAAGUUUUUUAAUUUUUUAAAAAAGAUUGCUAAUACUCGUAUAGAGAGUUUUUUGAUAGGGGAAUUGGAAUUAAGAAGUUUUCUUACAAGAAAUCUCUAAAGUGAACCGGAAAAAAAAAAGCAACGAAAACGUCUCCUGCUUAAACACACCAAUUAGUUAAGCAUCACCACGGACAUUAUAUUUCUACUACAAUAAUUAGAUAGGAAUCAAACUACAAACUACAAACAAAAACAGAUUGAAUUUGAGUAGAACAAGAGAACCCACGCAUGCAUGCAUGCAUGCAUGCAAAAUCGCUUUUGAAUGAAGCGGAUCGAGGAGAGAACAAAUUCAACACUAACAAGUGGGUGGAGACGACGCAAUCGUAUCGAAACCGGCCGCUUCCUGGCGCGCCGCAGGAGAGCCGGGCUCGUCGCGGUGCAGCGCCGAGCCGCACUUCAGCGCGACCCCGAACAGCCUCAGCCGCCGCGCCGCGGGAGGAGUCGUCGGGGACGGCUCCUCGGCGACGGUCAACGAGCUGCUCGACGUCGCGCUCCCGGAGUUCACGGCAGCGAGCUCGGGCUCCCGGCUGCGGCGCAGCGGCGGCGGCCGCGGCGGCGGUGAUGCGGUGAAGCUCGGGGCUACGGGUUGGACGUGGUUCUGCACGAAGUAGAUGAUGUCGUUGUAGAGCCGCUUCAUGUGCGCCAGCUCCGACAGCAGAGCCGCGUUGCUGCGCCGCAGCCUCUCGUUCUCCGCCAUCAGCGUCGUCGCGGCGUCGGCGGAGCCGGUGCCUCCGCUAUCGCCUGCGGGGGAGGCGGGGAGGGAGAGGAGGCGAGGGGGAUGGUUGAUAUGAUUGUAACGACGAUCAUGAUGGUGAUGAUGAUGAUGAUGAUGGAGGUGGUGGUGGUGGUGGUGGUGGUCGAGGGUGGCGAAGAGGGGAGGGAAAUGGAGAGGGGAGGAAGGAGAAGAGGUGGAGGCGGAGGUGGUGGCCUUGCGGCGUUGGAUCUCGCAGAGGAGGUGCUUCUGGCCCUUCCGGAAGAACUCGUUCGCGAACUCCCACCUCUCCGGCACCACCUUACGAAAGCCCUGUUCGAUCAUCAAACAACAAAUUAUUAUUAUUUUUUCUUUUAUAAAUACCGUAUACAAUAAAUGAAUUACAAAAAGAGUGUUUAUUUGGAUGCGUUUUUGCACUAAAUAAUGCAUUUCCAAAUUAGGCCU
rnacentral:lncRNA from 1 species